rnacentral:lncRNA from 1 species
CCAGGAGGUGUCCAAGGCCAAAAUGGACACAAACGUGAGAACCAACUGUGUUCGAAGAAAAACUGUGUGACUUCUAUUGUCUAGGUUUCCACAAACGGCUGACUGUUUAAAGCAACUUGCUACUGAUUGGCUAAGGAAUUUCGAUAGAUUUUACUAGGGAAAGUUCAAAGUCAUUGACUACUUAUCCCGAUGCAGUCUUCUUCAAUUUUUUCUUUGAAAAAAACAUAACAGAUGUUAUCGUUUGGAAUAAAGGCCAACAUAUUUAAUUCAUGUGGGGGAUUGUUGGAAAAAAUGGUUUAAUGGGUCAACUAUGAGCCCAAAUUUCAGUGGGACCCACCUUUUAAAUAAUACGGGACCUAGCAUGUUCACGUUCUACUCCGCGAGAUGAUUAACGUGAUAUAUUUAUUUAUCGAAAACCAUUUAAAAUUAAAUGAAAUAUUAAGUGUUAAAGUAACCCACAUAAACUAAGGAUUAUGAAAGAAUUUGAUUUGUCAAACACUUAUCCCACAUAGGAAAGUUAGAAAACUUUGGUGUGGUUUAUAAGGUGGAAGUUUGGAAUUGGGUUUGGGCCCCAAGGGGUACCAAUAGUCUUUGGAAGGGGAAAGACCUAUAUCCUAUUGGGUUCGGUCAUAAACCCACACGAGCGCGUCGUCGCCGCCGUCCGACCGGCUGGCUCGGCUCGGCAUGUGCCCGAGCCCUAGUCCGGUCCGGUUCAGUUCAGUGGGGGUCCGGGUCGACCUUUACACCAUAUUAACUUUUUAGACAAAAUUUAUUUAAAAUUUUGGGCCAAAUUGUAAAUAAUCAAAUUCUUGGGUAUAAAAUGAAAUUUAAAUUUUGGCUUAUUCCGGGUGUUUUACUUUCUUUUAAUAGUCGACUGUUUCGACUGUUUACCGACCAAACAGUCGACUUUUUACCGAUCAAACAGUCGACUGUUAGCCGACCAUUAACCGACUUAACAGACACGACUUUUAAGAACAGUAUGUCUGUUCGGAUUUUUGAGGCUUGUCUGAAAGGUGAUGACUGUUCGAAUGGCCACGAACAAGUCUAUAAAUAGCCAGCCUUUCUACCAGAAAAUUUACACCAUUUUCAUUGCAAACUUUCUGUGCUUUGAAUCUCAUUUCCCUCUCUCUCGAUAUUGUCUCGAAGUAAAAAACACUUCGUUGAGUUCGUUGGAACUCCUACAGACUGCAGUGCUGCUUCCGUAGGAGACGAAAAAUUCGUUCUAUCCUGGGAAACGAUUGCUGGACGCCUUUAGCACCAUUGAAGGUAGCAAAUUUGUUUUAAGGACACAUCGUGAAGUCGGUGGGCUCGAAUUACAAUUUUGGAUCCUGUUGAUCAAUUCUUGCAUUCAGGUAAUUCUGUCGGAUUGUUUUCGAAGGAGUGAAUUCAAACUCUAGAAACAACAUGUUCUUGUUCCAAAAAAUUGUUUUUGCUUAUCUUGCUCACUUAUCCGACGCAUUAUCGCCGGAGAUGAAACCGGCGUCGGAGUAUAUGAUAAGAAAAUCGAGGUACAGGAGAGUUAAUCGUCUAGCUAAAAAGAUCAACAGCUAGGAUUUUAUCAGCGGAUCUCACUGUCAAGAAUGGACGGUCAAAAGCUUACUAGGAACCACUCAUCACUUCUUCGGUUAUCCACCACCGUCAGAUCAUAACCAUCCGCAGCUUAUCUUCUAUGAACGAGAUCGCACCUGAUGAAGAAAUAUAUAACCUUGAAGAAUGGAAAUCUCACUGCAAGCCCGUUUCACCGCUGGUUCAGUCCGGUUCAGUGUGUCUAACUCCGAUACUUGCCAUAUUGUUCCUCUAUGUAUGCACCCUUUUCGCCUUCUUCAACACGGACGACAUAGCCACCUCGGAAAAUCUGCUUUUAGGGCUUAUUUUAGUUGCUGUUUUACUUUUCUUCGCGUCGAAAAAUAAGUCAAGAAUCCAACAAAGUUUCAGUUUUUGCAAGGAACUGUGUUAUGAGUAUGGAAAAAAAGUUGGGUUUCUCUGUUUGACCUCUAAGAACAAUGAAAAAUCUGUGAAAUGGUUCAUCGGUGAAUUGAACUUCGAUUAUAAAGAGAAUGCUAUUUGGCAACAAUGUAUUUAGGAACUCCUCUUGAUAAAAUUGAUUUGUAUUUAGAUUCCACACAAUAGAUAAUAAUGAGAAUCAAAUAUUAAACAAAAUUACUAAAAAGAACAUAUCUCGAGGAUGAAGAACUAAAAUAAUCAAAUAUUGAAUUGAGUUAACAUUAAGCAAGCAUGCCAAAAAGAAGAACUAAAAUAAUCAAAUAUUGAAUUGAGUUAACAUUAAGCAAGCAUGCCAAAAUGUUUCUACUACUACUACUACAAAAAAAAAAAAAAAAAAUGGCGUGCUUAAAUUCGUAAAAUUGAGUUAUUAUCAUUUUUGCUUUAUUUUGAAUGGCAAUUUCAUAUACAUUACAAAAUUUUUACUUUAACAUAAUAAAGUUCUUAUUUGAUUUGUUUGAAUAUAAAUAUGUCAAAUUUAAUCUAAAAAGUAAAGUACGUAUACAUGUGAAUAUUAAAACGCCAAAAUGGAUGCAUAAUUUAUAUUCGUUAAAUAUAUCCAACAUCAAAAAAUAUAAAAAGUUUACCUCAUUUAAUUUGUCAAAUGUAGUGACAUAUUUAAUCUCUUGCUUUGGUUUGCCUAAACUCAAGUAAAUAUGUUUGAUUUAUUUCGAUUCAAUACGAUCUGAUUAGAUUUGGUAUCAUUGGAGACUUGCGCACCCUUUUUAUAAUAAUCCUAUGAAAGUCGAAAGGAAAUGAUAAUAAAAAAUUAUAAAAAUAAUUGGUACGAACUUAAAAUCAAAAGCUACUUUUCUAAAUUUUUUUGCAGAUAGUAUAGUAUAAAAAAAGAAUUUAUAACUUAAACAAAGUUAUAAAGUAAAAUUUAAGAUCUUUCAGCGUUUAAUAAUAUUAAUAUUUUUAGUAAUAUUUAUAUAUAAUAUAACUUUAAUAAGCAUCAACGAUACUUACAGUUUUUUUAGUAUAUCGUAACAAUAUUUAAUAUGCUGACAUUAAAAUUUAAAACAUACACUUUUUGGAUAUGAUAUGACUAAUAUUCUAUCGUUAUAAUUGAUAAAAAAAAAUUUGAAAUGCCUGCGGAAUUUUAAAAUAUCAAAACACUUGGACAAAAAUUAUGGGUUGCGACAUAAACCUUUUAUGAAAUUAAAUUAUUUACAUAAUUAAUUUUAACUAUAAUUUUGCAUUAAAACCAAUAUUCAAAAUAAAAUAAAAUAAAAAAAGUUGGGAGACUAUGCAUUUAAGAGCUUUCUUAAUGAUUAAUAGUUAUAAUUAAUUAAAAAUUAAAAAAUAUUUUCCCUACCAAUUAAAGGUAACAAUACUAAGUGAAUGUAAAUUAUAAAAAUGGCUAUAAUCAAUAAAAUUAAUAUCAUAUUCUAUGGAAAUGUGUAUUGAAUUCAAUUUGUAAGGGUUGAAAAUUUGAGAAUAUGACACUCGAAAUUUGAGAGAAUCUAACUUUAGAUUUUAAUAAUUUUUUCUCUUUAUCCAGUGUUUAAGUGAAAAAAUUGCAAAUUUUAAUAAACACCAAACCGUUUUUCAAACUGACAACUCAUACCUAAAUUUCUUGCAAGUGAAAUUGACAAUAGAAUUUUCAAUUUCUCAAAACUAACAUUCAUACAUUGUAAGAUUGUAACAAUAAGAAAGAAAAUAUGUUCAUUAAUCAACGAAUAUCAUAGAGACAAAAUGUACAAGAUUCGAUUCGAGAAAAUAAAGAAAAAUUUGUAUUGCAUUGGAUAACUGAAUGCAAGUAAAUUUCGGUUGACAAUAAUAUUUGUAAAAAAUAAAUUCAAAAUAACUAUCCAAUAUAAUAAAUCUUUACAAAACACUAUUAAAAUUCAUCAUUAAAAAAAGUAAGAUGUUUAUUAUUUUUUGUUGUGGUCUAUAUAUAUAUAUAUAAAAGAAUGGCCAUCACUCCGAUCAAAAGAGACCAUAAAAAUUUGUGAUUAAUAAUCACAUCAACAAUUACAUAGAGAAAAUAAAUAUAGGAAGAAAAACAAUUUAUAAACACAUAUUCAAUAUGUGAUCUGUGAGUGAUGAAUUAUGGAUUCAUAAUUGAGACUUAAAGCGUAAAGAAACUCUUAUAUAGUUUUUUAUUUUAUUUUAUUUUUUUUAUUUAGUUCAUUUGUGCAAAAACUUUUGUCGAAAUAUAUCAAAUCAAAGAAAAAUAUUUAUAUUAUGGACAAUAAAAUGUCCUAAUUAUGUAUUUGAUUAAUAAAAUAUUUAAAGAUUGCGAUUAUGGAUUGAUUUAUUAUUUUCAAAAUAAUUUUUUAGAAAUGCAAUACUAUUUUUAAUAUUUAUUAUUAGGUUUAAAAAUAUUUAAUUGUGUUAGUAAUUUUAAUUUUUUAGUAUAUAUUAAUAUUAAUUGACUUAAUAAAAUAUGUCAUUUCAAGUAAAUUAUAUAUAGAAAUAGUAUUAUUGUAAUUUCUUUUCAUUGUGUGUAAUAACAUUCUCAUUAUUUGUGUGCUAAUAAUUAGAAAUAAUUGUAUUUAGUGGAAAUUAAUUGACUUAAUUUUUGAAAGCAAUAAGAAUUAUUAAUUAUCUUAUUUAGAAGUUAUAAAUUGAAUAUUAAGGGUACGGUUCACCACAAAUAUAAAAACGUAAAAGUAAAAUGUGAAAUCGAAUGUUUAUCAUCUAAUCAUACUUAGGUUAUUGAAAAAUGAUUUUUUUUCAUCAUAUUUUAUCAAAUCAAUAUAAAUUAAUGGUGAUUAAAAAAUUGAUGGAUUAUUAUAAAAUGACUUUUCAUCUAAUACGUAAUAAGUAAACAUUAGUUAACAGAUUUAUUUAUUUAUUUAUUUAUUUAUUUUUACCGUUAUGUUUUAUUUUCAAUGAAAUCUUUUAGGAAUGCCUUUUAAUCUAUAAUAUUAGGUUUAAAAAAUUUAAGUGCAUAUAUAAUUUUAUUGUUUCUAUAAAUCUUAUAUAUAAUAUUAUUUGAUUUAAUAGUCUAUGCCAUUUCAUGUUAAUUAUAUAUGUGGUAUUGUUAUAAUUUUUAUUUGUUUUUGUAUAAGUUUUUAUUAAUUGUAUACUAAUAAUUAGUAAUAAUAGUGUUUAGUGGAAAUUAAUUGAUUUAAUUUAAAAGAUAAAUAAUUUUAAUUUUAAUAAUAAUUGAAUUUAGUUGAAAUAAAUUUAAUUUUAAGAGUAUUAUUGACCAUAAACAUAAAAAUAUAAGGGUAAAAUGGAAAAGUAAAGACAUGAAAAUAAAUGAGUGUAUAUUGGACUUUAAGCUAAAUAUGUAAGGGUACAAUUGUUAAUCAAAAGUUUCUCCUCAAUCUCCAAUUUUAAUAUAUUGCAGAUAAUCCUCUACAAUUAUUUCUUGGUAUUGUAAUGUUAAAAAAGUAGAACCAUGUAUUUUUUUACAUAGAGAUUUCUUAUCGUUCUUUUGUUCAAAGCCAUAUUUGACUUAAGUUUAGCUUUAUUAAGAAUGUUCUAGGGUUUUUGGUGGCAAUUCAUUCUCAUACACCUUAUUGUGUGGUGGGAAUCUACCAAAUUUGACAUUGGAGUCUUAGCACGCAAGCACUAAGUUUUGUAUCAUCAUAUUGUCUCCCAAAUGCUCUAAAACUUGUAAAGAACUAAUACUCAUUUUCCAUAUGCGUGAGCAUCAUAUUUCAAAUUAUUUGAGAUAUAAUCAUAAAUUUUUUCUAAUAAUAUAAUAUACGAGAUUUCAGUUGUCAAUCGAGUAUCUUUAUAUUCAAAAAUAGUAAUAAGAUUGUAUAUGACACAUCUUUUGCUACUUUUGUUAAUGAAUCAAUUAGUUUGUUAUAUUGCAUUCCAUUCUUUAUUUUGUUUGCAAUGAGUUAACUAGAUAAAAGUUUUUUGUUGAGUUUUAAAAAAUAUAAUAAAAUGAAAUAUAAGUCGGUACAAGGUUUUUUUGUUAUGUACCUUAAAUUCAUGUCAUCUUGUAACAAAUACUUUUGUUGAUCUAUGAUCUAUGAGUUUCAACCUUGUUGACACAACUCAUGUAUUAUGGCUUGUGUUGAGUCUUUAUGUCAAGCCUAGCUCAACUUGCAUAAUGUCAAGAAUUUUUACGCUAGUACACUCUAUGACUCUUGCGUUGUGAGCCUAGUUUGUAUAAAAUCGUCUUAGCAUACUUUAUAACUCUAAUAGAACAAAUUUAAAGUUGAAGGAAUAGAUUAUAUAUGAUUGUGAAUGUUCUAGUAUUGUUUCAUUAAAUAUAGCAAAUAAUUAAAUGAUAUCAAAUAUAUUAAGAAUAAAAUUUAUUUUUACAUUGUUGUUUGAUUAUGAAUUAUCUCAACUUCGAAAUUUAGAGCAAAGCAGUGCUACGUGCACAAGGUGGUCGUUCAUAGAGUUGAUACAGGUCACACACAGAAGGUGGGUUAGGUGGUUCAUUUUUAAAAAAACAAAAAAAACAUCACAUGGGGAGCCCAUGUGAGGGUCUAUAAAGACCUCAUGAACUAAUUCCCUGUACAUUUCUAGCGUAAGUAGUCACAUCAAUUCAUUAGAAGAGUCAACUUAUUCCAUGUGCUGUUGGUGCGGAAUCAGUGCUGAUACUGUAACUAAGGUAUUUAUCGUGUUUGGCCACGUUAACUUGAAAAGUAAAAAUUACUUUAUAGAAUAAUUUUUCUAUAAAAAAAUAUUAGAGUACAAUUUUGUUUAAUAAUUAGCUGCUGCCAUAUUCAUUAUUAUGGGGAAUAAAAUUAUAUGCCUAAAAAUAUUUUACGAUCUCCAUAAAGUAAAAUCAGUAAGAGAAUUUCUUAAAUUCGGUACGUCAGUUUUCAUUUUCCUUUUUCUUUUCCAAUAAAAUAUUAAUUUACUUAACAAAUGUUGGGUAUAUCUUCUUUUAUUCUUCUCUUUCCUCUAUUAUUCUAAAAAUAUUCUACUUUAUCAAAAUUUCUGUGUUUUGUAACAUUUCUAUGCAUCUUAUUGAGUACAAUUGCUUGCUAGACAUCAGUAUAUUUGGUAAAGUCUGUUGGACAUAAUAUAUAGCAUUAAAAAAUGACAAAAUUAAAACAUUUAUUUACCAUAAUGUUCAAUCUCGUCUAGUUAUACAUACGAACCAUGCGCUUAAUCUCUAAGAGUAUUACUAUAUCAUAUAAUCGAAUUUUUUUUGGAAUUGUAUGGGGGCAUUUUCUUAAGUGAAACUUAAAGAAUAUAGAAUAAUAUUGUUUGUACAAAGUGUGGAUCAUCCACAUCAAUAUUAUUUGAGUAUUUGAAAUUUUGUAUAUUUAGGCUCUGUUUGAACCCCAUUAUUUCUUCAUUAAAAUGAAAAAUAUGAUCGUUAUCCAUCAUAUCAAGUCACUAUAUUUGACUUUUUAUCUAUUGUGCGAGAUCCAUAACGACUAUAUUUUUCAUUCUUAUUUUUAUAAUAAUGUGGCUCAAACAGGGGCUGAGAAUACGAAAUUAUCAAUAAAGUCCUUUUUGAAGAUUGUUUUAGAGAUAAUUGUAGCAAAAGUCCCAAAUCUUUGAAACACUAGCAGAUUUUUCCCAAAUCUUUGAUUUGUUGCAGCUCCUAAUAUUUCCAAGCGUUGCAUGUAAAGCCUUUUUGGAAGGUUUUCAUGCAAAAUUUCGUCAAUUGACCAAAAAAAAUGAUUUUGACCACAUUUGAAUAAUUUUUAAAUGGAUGGAAUGGUAACUUUACAUUAAAAUAAAAAAUUUAAAAAUAAAAUUGGUCUUCUUCUUCCCUAACCCACCCCAAGUCCACCCCCACGCCAUAGGCGGAUUGGAAAAUUGAAGUACUAAAACCAACCCACAAAUAUAGCCCAACUUUCAGUGUUGAUCCCUUGGAAUUUCCAGAUCCUAGUAGGUUGGGGGUGGAUUAGGGAAGAAAAGACCAAUUUUAUUUUUUGUUUUUUUGAUUUAAAAUGUGGUCAAAAUCAUUUCUUUUUGGUCAAUUGAUGGAAUUUGGGAUGAAAACCAUCAAAAAUGGCCUCACAUGCAACAUUUGAAAAGAUUAUUGUGACGGUUGCAACAAAUCAAAGAUUUGAAGAAAGUCUGCUAGUGUUUUAAAGAUUUUGAACUUGUGCUGCAAUUAUUGACCUUGUUAUUAUAUAAUAUUAAACUUCUAUUGAGUGCAAAUAAUUUAUGUAUACUUUGGAUUUAUGUGUAAGGACGAGAUAACUAUAGGUCUAUCUACUACUAUUUGAUUCGCUUAUUAAAAAAAUAAAAAUCCAAUCAAAGAUAAUUAGUCAUGUACCUAAUAAACAAGAUAAAUAUGCAUGGCAUUAUCAAGGAGUGUCCACUCAUCAUCCCACAAUCCUACAUGUAUCACAUAGCACUAAUCCCUAAUAAAUAUUUGGUGGUCAUUUCGCAAAAUAUAAUAAAAAUAAUUUAAUUAUGAGUGGUUCAACAUAGUAUAAAAGCAGUAAAAAAAUUGAACUCAAGUCGCAUGGGCUAUAUAGGAAAAUUGUGCACAUAUAUUCAAUAAAAAAAUGAGCAUGACCACGCGUAUGUGAAAGGACACGUUUAGAGUUAAUUUCAAAACAAAUAAUUGUACUGUCUUUAAUAGUUUAAUUUUUUAGAUGAAAUAGUUAACCAAUAACAAAUUAAACUUAGAAAAAUAUUUAACAUGUGGUGGAGAUUCAUGUUAAACUAUUUAUCUUUCUUUUAGGAUUAUUUUAAUUAGUGGAAAGAUUCUAGUUUCUUGAAUUUGAUUCCUAAAGGGGAAUAGAGUUAGUGCGCCAAUUUACAAGAAUUAUUCAAUCUUUUUUGCUUUUGAUUUGUGCAUAAAAGCCCAAAACUUCUCAUUUUUGUAUGUCCCAGGCAUUUACAAUUGUGCAUAGAAAAAUUAGAGAAUGAGAAUGGGAGAGAAAUCCAUAUGGGGGAUUACAAGUAUGGCUUUCAAUAAGAUGAAGCCCUAUUUGGCCAUGGUGUCUCUACAAUUCGGCUAUGCCGGAAUGUACAUUAUCACCAUGCUUUCCUUCAAGCAUGGGUUCAGUCACUGGAUUCUAGUCGUGUACCGCCAUGCAGUUGCCACAAUGGUUUUUGCGCCUUUUGCAUUUUUCCUCGAAAGGUUAGUACAUCAUUCAUACAUAUGUGCAUAAGUGCAUGUAUGCCACGCAUUUUAGUUUUAUUUCUCCUUAUAAUAUAAAUUCAUUUCUUCUCUCUGCGUGUGUAACAAUGCUAUUUACAUGUUAAUUUGCAGGAAAAUAAGGCCUAAGCUAACCCUAUCAGUCUUUUUGAAGAUAAUGCUGCUUGCUUUCCUGGAGUAAUCUUCUUGAUCACUUCACUUAUUUACUACAAUAUAUUGCUCUUUUGCGCCAUCUUACAAAAUUUUCAUCUAAUAGUAUAGUCCAGUCGACCUUAUCUGCAUUAAAUAAACACGAUUAGGCCAUAUAUACCCAAAAUUUGAACUUGUCAUUUUUGUAUUAUCAUCAGGCCUGUCCUCGAUCAAAACUUGUAUUAUGUUGGAAUGAAGUAUACAUCAGCAACUUUUACAGCAGCAACUAUCAACAUUCUCCCAGGCAUCACCUUCAUAAUGGCUGUUAUUUUCAGGUAUAUCUUUACUUUCCCAGAUUCAUUAACAAAACUUUGUAUUAUACUAGUUUGAUGGGGUUCAAAGGUGAAAAGAGAGUUAGAUCGAUGUGCAUGGCAUAACAUUCCCAUUUUUUUGUGUAUUUAUUCUUAGUUGAGUUUGAGACGACAUCAACCAAAAUAUACUAAUUAAAAAAUGGGAAAAUUGUAGCAUAGCUCCAAACCUUUUUCAAUUAUUGAAAACUUUACCCUAACCUUCAAUUUGUGUCAACAAAGGUCCCCAACCUUUCAGAAGUAUGCACCUGAGUCCAAAUUAAUGGAAACCCAUCCAUUUGAACUUUAGUUGACCAAUAAAAUUGAAUUUUGAACAAUUUUGACUAAUUUAAAAGAGUAAAAGGGUAACUUUGCAAUUUAACUCUAUAAAACAAUUAAAAUAAAUAAUCAAAACAAAAUAAAAAUAAUAAAAGGAAAAAAACUAUUCAUCUCACACCCCCAUCCUCCCAAAUCCACUACCCAAGCAACCUCUUCAUUAGAAUUUUUACUUCUCCAACACAAAGAAUUUCCCACUUGAACCUUAUUUCCCUCACAAUACAAAUACCCAUCUUCAGAUUUUGUGAAACAAUACUAGAGAUUCUGGGUUUUGAGUUCAAUGAGGGACAGAAUUGCUCGUAUGCACAAAGAGGCGAUUUUUGAAGUAGGCUUAAGUUUGAAGGGUGAAAUGGGUUUUAUGGGAAACCAAGUAAAUGGGGAUUUCGGGGAUUUUAUGGAAAGGAUUGUUGGGGUUUGAGAGAGGAGGUUUAUAGCCACCAUUGUUGGGAGAAAGUGAAGAAAAUGCAACCGUUUACACAAAGAAAGAUGAUUUUUUGGUUUUGGUUUGCGGUGGUCGCUGGCGAUGGCCGGAAGUAGCAGAUGGUCGACGAGUUGUUUCUAGAUUUUGGUUCUUUUUUUUGUUGGGGGGAGGAGGCAGGUGAGAUGUGUAAGAAGAUGAUAUUUUAUUUUUAUCUUUUCUCUCUUUUUAUUUUGUUUUAUUUUAUUUUAUUUCUGGGUUUUCCAUUAUUUUAUGUAUAUAAUAGCAAAGUUAUCAUUUACCCAUUUUAAUUUGAUCAAAAUUUGUCAAAGUCCACUUUUGUUGGUUCAACUAAUGGUCAAAUGAACAACAUUUGGAUCCAAGUGCAUAUUUCUGAAAGUUAGGAACAUUCACUAGCACAAAUCGAAGGUUAUGGUAAAAUCUGCAAAAAUAGAAAAGACUUGGGACCAUUGCUACAAUUUUCCCUUAAAGAAUUUAGAGGUGUCAAAAUAGGCGGAUCGACCCAAGCCAGGUUCGUCUGUGAAAAGUUCAAGCUGAUAACCAGUCUAGACUUGGCCCCUGAUGACAUGUUGCCCAUGUAGACAUUUUUAUCAAAAAAAAAAAAAAUAAUAAUAAUAAUAAAUAAAUAAUAAUCAUUUUUAUUUUACUUCUACUAAAAUCCUUUUGAAAAAUGUGGGGACCAGGCCUCUAAGACAAGCCAUCUGGAUCCAACCUACUCAUUUUGACACCUUGAGAAAAAUCAUAUUAUCAUUUCUUCAAAAAUAUUUAGUGCCUCUGUUUGGGUUUAUUUUCAUUUGUAACUAAAAAGUUACUUUUAAAGGAUCCAUGGUAUUAUACACAUAUCGACCACUCAUUUCUCGAAAAAUAAAAGAAACACGAACAUAAGCAUAUUAAAAUUUUGUGCUUUUCUAAAUAAAUUUUAAUCUGAUCACAUGUACUUCAUAUUUAUAGGUUGGAGAAGGUUAACUUGAAACAGAUACACAGUCUAGCAAAGGUCAUUGGAACUGGAAUAACACUCUUAGGUGCAAUGCUCAUGACAUUCUACAAAGGCCCUGUAGUCGAUAUUCUUCCCCACUCACUCAGCAGAAGCCACCAUGAAACCGCUAGCACCGUUGGCUCAGCCGAUCAGCACUGGAUCACUGGCACAAUUAUGUUGCUUUCUUGUAUUGUGGGUUGGUCCGGUUUCUUUAUAGUUCAAGUAAGUUCUAUGUCCAUCCAGAUAGGAUUAGACAAGAUCAUUACAAAGUUAUAUCUAGACCUAUCUAAUCGAGCUUAUCAAAUAUGUCGUUUAUGUGCACUCGAAUUUAUCGAAAUUUUUUCUUUUAGAUUUAAUUAAAGUUAAAUAUUGAUAUGGUUUGAACAGAAUAAGACACUGAAGGAAUAUCCUGCAGAGCUCUCUCUUACAUCAUUAGUUUGUUUCAUGGGAAUGGUGGAAGGUGGAGUUGUGGCUAUAAUAAUGGAACACCAUAUCAGUGCCUGGGCAAUUGGCUUUGACUCAAGACUUUUGGCUGCUGUAUAUUCUGUGAGUAAAUUUCAAUAAUUAGGACGAAAAGCAAUUUAUAUAUUCUCUUAAUGACAUGUUUGGUAUAGGGUUAUAUAUGAUAACGCUGGACAAUACACUAUUUUGGCUUUAUUCCUUUUUGCAUAGUGUUGAUUAAUUGUUGUGAGUUGUAGAGCUUAAUUAUUCUCGCCGUGCGGAGUUAGCACACAAAUUUAUUGCAGCAACUAAAGAGGAUGUAGUCUCAAAUCAAAGCGAACAUAAAUCUCGUGUGAUCUCGUGUGCAUUUUUUUCUAUGAAUUUUUGUUCUUGGUGGUAGAAUUAGAGUUUUUAAUUCUUAACAAGCAUUCAACAUUAUCAAACACACGACAGGGGUAUUGAGAAUAAAAUUUUGUAACGCAUUGAGAGAAUAGAGCUAGACUAGGUGGAAAAAACCCUAAAACGGUCACGAAGUAUGUAGGCUUUGCUCGGGAGCAUUCUCUAACAAAGCAUUAUAUAUUUUCAAGGAAUGCAAACAUUGAAACACUUUGUCUAAUUAAGUCAUAGUUUCAUGUCAAGAAUCAUAUUAUAAUAUGUGACAAAAUUUUAUGUUGACUAUCAACCUAUCGUAAUUAGUAAGUCUCCUUCUUUAUAAGAUAUUGUAUCUAAAUAUAUGUACUUCAUUGCAGGGGAUCGUUUGCUCAGGAAUUGCAUAUUAUCUGCAAAGUGUUGUCAACAAGGCACGAGGUCCAGUGUUUGUGACUUCAUUCAGUCCUCUAAGCAUGAUAAUCACAGCUCUUUUGGGAGCCAUGGUUUUGGCUGAGCAAAUUCACCUUGGAAGGUAACUUUCGUGCUUGUAAUUUCGUUGAACAAGCCAAUUACUUUUAUUAUAUGAAGUUUCUUGGGCAGGUAAAAUCUGUUUCAAAAACUUUAUACAACGGCUAAGAGUCGUUCGCUGCCCUCGCCGUGUCCCGUGUUGCCCAACCCCAUUAGGGUUGGGAUUCCCCAGUUAGUCGGUGUUCGGGUUGAGUACGGGAAAAAUAGUCCCAUCCCGACUCUUCUUCUUUAUUUCAUUAUAUACAAUAUAUUUAUGUUUUAAAAUUAAAAUCUUUAAGUUUAAAAAAAAAAUUAGUUAGCAAAAAAUAUGAAUAUUUUAAUCUGAAUCAUGCCUCCUACCAAAUGCAAAGGAGAUGGCGAUAGGGAGGGCUUCCUCGGCCCUGCCACAUCCCAUCUCUUUUGCCAUCCCCACUCAAGGAAACACACACCAAACAAGUUGUGCCUAAUGCGCACAUCAUCUGCAUACAUCGCACUCGUUAAUUUAGCAUGAGAAUUUUUAUCAAUUAUGAUCGUCGCUUAUAUUUCUUGAUACAUAAUCGUUCGAUAAUUAGUAGUUAAAAAUGUGUGUAUAUUUGUACUUGCAGCUUAAUAGGAGCAAUUAUCAUUGUAUUUGGACUCUACUCAGUUGUAUGGGGUAAGAGCAAAGAGAAUUCAAACUCGGACGAGUUAGUGUACGAGGAAAACAAAUCCCAUGAUGCAUUGCCAGUGGUGUACAAGAAAACAUCAAACAUUCUUGACAAUGCUACAACUGAUACCGACGUAAAACCAGAUGUACGAGAGAAUAAUUCCUUAAAUCAAGAGCCAUGAAAUAGCAACAUCGUCCUGUCCCAUCCCGUCCCAGCCUAGCCCGUGUUGUUUUUACAUUUUUAGCCCAUGUUGUAUUUAUACCCAUAAAGGCAGAGUAAUUAUGUCAUAUAUUACUGACAUUUUAGCAUUGUAAAUUGGAAAUCAAAUGGGUUUUGGGGAUUAAAGAUCUUGAAAAAGUCAUAUAUCAAGUAUCAAUACUAAUGAAACAAGUGAAAUUUGACAGAUAAAUGUUACAAAUUCACUGCGCAAACUACAUAUCGAAACUUGUGUUGUAUCCUUGUGUGACCUUGGAUAUACAUGUCUUUAUACAUUUUACUUUAAUUGAAAGCGGUAUCUUGCAAUUUGAAUUGAAACUUGUUUUCGUGAGGAUUGUGUUGCGGUUUGACGAAGAUUUGGAAGUUUCCGCCAUUGUAGAUUAUAACUAUAACGAACAAUUUAGCUCCUAUUUGUUUUGGAUAAAAAUUAAAAUUUUCGUAUAUUUUGAUAAAAUUUGAUGAAAUAUUUAGUUAAAUGUUGAUAAGGUAUUGGAUCUCAUAAAAAUGUGUGAUUGAAAAUGAGUUUUAAAAAAUAAUAAUGAUGAUUGAACAGAGUUAAAAACACGAAAAGUGUGGACAGAGUGAGUUGGCAGCAUUUGGUUGGAUUUAUUUUUAGAAAAUUUUCAAACCAUCCAUUCAUGCUUCUCUUUAAGGAUUAGGGGUCAAAAAUGGUCUUAACUCUUGAGGGUUUAGGAAUGUCAAAGAUGAAAAAUAUUUUCGAUUAAUUUCAAUUGUCAAACAUCUUUGUCUUUAAAAUGAGUAUAUAUGGGAUCAUAUUCAAUCCCUGUUAUAUGAAAAAAUUCGAAAUUACAAAUUUAUCAGUGAAAUAGUUAAAUGGACCAAAAUGUCCAUAAUUGAAGAUAACAACUCACGUGAUUUAUAAUACAUUUUGUAACACAUCAAUUUUUUUUUUAGCUUUUUUAUUCUCCUAAAGUUCAAUUAUUAUUUCAUUUUCAUCUAAUUAACAUUUUUUUAAAUCUUUUUCAUUCACAUGUCCUAGGUAAAUUAACGUGCAGUCUAGUGUUUUAAAUAAUUUUCUUCCAUUCGCAUUAUUUACUUUAAAAUUUGUUAGGAAUGCAUGUCUAAUUUUAUUAGUUUGAUGAUUAUGCACUUGUUUGAUAAAGAUUUUUAGAGAAGUAAUUAUUUGAAAAUAUCUUCUCUAUGAAUGUGUGAUUAAAAAUUAGGAAAGUUAUGAGGAAUGAGAAAAAUAAUAUUUUGGGAGAUUGUAUGAUUGAAAACAAGUACGGAAGAAAAAUUAUUCUCAAACAAUAAAAACCGAACUAAGGCCCCUUUCAUGAGAAAGCUUCAUAGAAGAGAAUAAUGUAUAUAUAUACAUAUAAUUAAUGAGUAUUUCCUAUAUUUUACAAUAUUUUCUAACUUAGUAAAAUUAUUUUUAGUGACUUGAUGUUAGAGCUGAAGAAAGAAAAAUAAUAAAUUUUAUAGAUCUCUCUCUCUCUCUCUCACACACACAUAAAUCAUCCAAAAAAAACCAUUGAAAAAUCAGUACUCGGAAAGUGGUAUGCAAAACAUUAAAUUGAUGCUGGUGUAAAUCUUGGCAUUUCUCGUAAUGCUUUAUGAGUUUGAAAGUAGUUUGUUGGAUGAUUUCGGCAAUUAAAAAUUGAAGACUUCGAUGAAAGGGAUCUAGGAAGAGUCACAUGUCAAGCAUCAAUAAUAUAGAAGCAAAUGAAAAUUUACACGUGUUACAAAAUUGUGGAAGUGUGUACAAAAGAUGGUACUAUAAAAAUGGAAAAUUUGCAAUAUUAAUAAUGCUGUUUAAACUUCAAAUAACAAGUUUUGAAAAUAAUAAAAAAAAUAAAAUUGGGUAUCAACAUUCUAUUAUAAUUGCAAAACUAGUCAGUCAUAAAUUAGGAAACUUAUAAAUUUUUAUUAACUCUUUCGUGACCUCAAAUAUUCAUGAAGCUAAAUUUUACUUCUCUUAUUAUAUUGGUGCCUAAAAAUUUAAUUUUUGAUGUUUCUUUCACUCUCUUUUUAACGACUGCUAAUCAUUGUGCUCAUAUGCUGGUUUGAUUCUCCAAUCUUGCCCAACUCUCAAUUGGAUCUUAGACAAAGGGUCAUAUCUAACUCUCUAUGUCAAUUUGUUCAAGAUCAACUGCUUUUCGCGUCGGAUUAAUUGAUAUUUGUGUAGUUUUGGGAUUUUUUAUUUAAAUCAAAUAAAUUGGGAGUAAUGAACACUAAUAUUAAUAACAGAGUUUGUAAUGGUUUUUAAUUGUUAAAAAAAAAGGGUUAUUUUAAGUGAUUUAGAGAAGAGAGGGUGGGGGUGGAGGAGAAGCAAUGUAAAUAUAAAAAGUAAUAGUCAUCUGGAAUAAAAUAAAAUUUUGAAAAAAUAAUUUAUUAUUGUAAAAUAAUGAGAUAAUUAUUUAUGAUUAUUUGAUAUCAUCAUGAUAUAUAAAUAACUCUUAUUUAGUUUAAAAUAUAUAUUUCAUACAAAUUGUAACUCUUAUUUUUGACCUUAUAAAGAUAUGAUAUUAGUUCUUAAUAAUACACAUUUGAGUUUGACUCUUAUAUUAUCUUCUUCUCUCUUUUCAUAAUACUUAUUAUUUUUAAUAUCUUAAAUAAAAGAUAUCAAUGAAAUAAUUUUUUGAUAGGUAAAUUUUUUUUUUUUUUGAUAGGUGAUAUUAAUGAAAUAUUUCAUUAGGUGGGUUUGAGCCCCAUUAUUUUUUCAUUAAAAUGAAAAAUAUGACAUAUUAAGUCACCAUAUUUGACUUUUUAUCUAUUGUGUAGGGCUCAUAAUGACUAUAUUUUUCAUUUUCAUUUUUACAAUAAAGUGGCUCAAACGGGGGCUAGUAACUUAACUAAAAAAUGGAAAACAAACAAAAGGACAAUCUUUCAUCGUGACACCAAAUUUUCUUCGUUGACGAUGGCAAUCGAUGCUUUGUUGAUAAUCGUUGACAUUAUCUUACGUAUGUGCAUUCAAAUAAAAAAAAUAAACAAAAGAAUAAAUGUUCAUCGGUGACACUAGAGUUUCUUCAUUAGCGAUAGUGAUCGCUACACUAUUGAUAGUUGUCGAUAAUGUAUUAUGGAGGUGCAUCCAUAAUAAUCAAGAUUAUUGAUUUUUAUUAGAACUAUCGGCAAUAACCAUCCAAUAUCACCAACAAAAAAUCUGUCCAUGAUCAUUUACUACAUUUUUUUUUAGUUAGUAAACUCGUUAAGCCUUGCCAAACACUACAAUUUUUAUUUUUAUUUUUUUGUCUUUUUCCUCUCCUAAUAAAAAAUUACACGUAAUUUUCUUUUCUAGUGAAAUAGAAUAGAAAUAUAAAAAAGUAAAUUAUUCUAUUUGAGGAUACAAGUUACUUAAAAGUUAGUAUAUUUUCAAAAAGAAUACAUUUUUGAAUAGUGUAUUGAUCGAAAAUGUGUAGUUAAAAAUAAGAAAAAAAAUUUGGAUUUACGUGUAAUAUUAUUUUAUUGAAUAAUACGUGAUUAAAAUAAUAUCAAAUCACUAUUUAAGAAUGUAUUUUCUAAAGAAUGUAGGUCAAAUUAUUUUUAAGCUUAGGCCAUUUCUAGCGUUGCACCAAAUUUUAUACCAAAUCUUUCACCAAACUAAAAUUCGUCUCCAACCAUUACACCAAAAAUUACACAAAAUGAACAAUAUUUAACCAUUUUCUUCCCUUUUUUUUAUUCUUUAUAAUAUAUUUAUAUGAAAAAUUAUUUAUUUAAUUACUUUAUAAAUACAUAAAUUACUAAAUAAAUAAUUACGUUAAAUUACGAAAAAGAUCAAACUCAUUAAUAAAUCGUGUUUGUUAUAUUUUAUUUUUUCUUCUUUUAAUUAAUUUAUUAAUUAUUAUUUCUUACAUUUAAAAUUUAUUUUAAAUGCAAGUAAUAAUCAAAAUAAUAAUAAUUUAUUGUAUUAAAAAAUAGAUAGUACAAAUAACACAAAUACCCUUAAUCAAUUUAUUUGAAAAAGGAAAAUGAAAGGUAAAAAUGACUUUAGACACAUUGCACCAUUUUGGUGCAAAGUGAACUUACACCAUUUUGGUGCAAAAUAGUGCAAAGUUUAAUGUUACAUUUGAGGUAUUUUGCACCAUUUUUUCGUGCAUUUUUAUGUUUUGGGUAAGCAUUGGAGAUGCCCAGCAAAACAUGCCAUCUGAUAUGGCACUUGAUGAUUGGGGAAAGCUACAAAACAUGGGAAACAUUGUACCAGCUUAACCCAAAAUGUUGGGGAAAAUCAUUGCAGAAGUCUAUAAUUUGUAUGUAUUCUAAGGAAAAGUAUACAAUUUUAUGUAGGCAGUAGAAUCCAUAUAGAAAUCAUGUUUAAAUAAAUUUAAAGAAAUUUUUAAACUCAUAACCUUCUUACAAUAUGUAUAGAUUGAUGACUUCUCCUUACGUUUUCUGUCUGUAUACUCCUUUGCUUCACUUUGAUGAAUCUUCUUGGUCUGUCUUCCCUUAACGGCCACCUGCCUGAUUGUAUUUUAGUCCCAGUGAUUCUGUAAAGAUCCGUACAUGGUUUGUAUAUAGAACUGAAAAGUAUGAAGAAUUGACUAAAACAUGAAAGUUUUAUUCAAUAAGAAGGUUUAAGAGUAUGAAGAACUCUUAAACUUAUUUAAUUACAUGAAAAGAUUCAAAAAUAAAUCUACUGUCUUUGAGGGUUUAGCCUCACAGUGUAUACAUUUAGUAUUUCAGAAUUAGAAAAUUUUGCUCUCAAAAUUUUUUUCCUCUCUCUUCUUCUCUUGAAGUCCUCCUUUUAUAGCCGUCCAGAAAGAUUCCUUUUUGCUAUCAUUUGUUCCCUUGUCAUUAUCAACAAUUUUUCUUUUACCAAAGGUAAAAGUAAUGAUAAAGUUAUAUGACAAAAGUUUUAUCAUUUUCUUCAAUUUUUCAACAAUGCUCCCUCUUUUCAAAAGGCAAGAGCCUCUUUUGUCAAAAGUUGUUGAAAUUUUCAAAAAGCAAAUUUCUUUUUGAAAAUUAGUUUGAUCCAUCCUUCUUUUCCUUACUUUCGGUGGAUGUCUUUUCAGUAGUGGAUUCAAUCCCUCCACUUGUCUCUCCUUCAAUUCCCCAAAAUAAAUCUUCUGGAGAUUUGUUUUUGUCUUUUUCAUCAAGUAAAUGACACCAUUUUCAUUCGUGAUAUUUGUCAAGACUCUGUUUCAGAGAUUUGCAAAGAUGUCCUUGGUAGUCUACUGGUGAAUUGGGCAAAUUAUAAACAUUCCUUUCAAAAUUGCAAAGAAUUUUUAUUCCAUCACUUUGGAUUGUUUUCCCUGUCUUGCUUGUAACCAAGAUGAAAUCAGUUGAAUAAUUUAUCUUGAUUUUUGACUCAUUGUUGAAAGAUUUUAAUCCAGUUAAAAUCCUCUGGUAUGAAAGAUUUCUCCAUUCUCUGAUUAUGGAAUCAUUAGUACCUUCAAUUUUUCCUUGAACCAGCUUUUCCAGAAAGAUUUCUGGUAUUGUUUUGAUUUGGAUAUGAUGAUAUCCUUUAAAAAGAUAUCUUUCCUUAUCCCAGAAAGGGAUCGUACUGUUAAUCUUCAACAUCAUCUGUAGAUUUUGGUCUUUAAUAACAAUUCUUUUAAAGUCUUUUAAAACUUUAAUCAAAUUGCUAUCCAAUUUCUGGAUUUCUUCCAUUGAUUCACUUAGAAUAAUCAUUUUGAUUAAACCACAGUGAAAAGCUGUCUGCACCAUUUUUGGAUCUGCACAUUCAAAGAAGAUAUACUGUCCAAAUUUUUUAUCAAUUGUUCCAUAGUAUCAUUUUUCAGGGACAGAUGGUCCAACAAUCCUUGCUUCUUCCUCAUAUGUGAGAAAGUCUUCAAAUGUAAUUCCACUAAGAAAAUGACUCUCUGUGGUUUUGGUAUUUUCCCAAUUCUUUUGAAUCUACUGGGAAUGGACUCUGUUUGAGUUUCAACUGCAUCUUUAAAAGAUAUCAUUCUAACCAUUUGGUUUGCAUUUGGUGAAUUAAAGAGUUGGGCUGAAAAUUUGGGCCUGGCUCUUAAUGGAGUUGUAUUUUGACAAUAGUUUGGUCUCAAAUGAAUAUUGUCAAAUUCAAAUAAUUGUUUGUAUGGCAUUGGAUUUUGGCCUUUUUCUUCAUAAAAUUUGGUAAAAGUUUCUUGGGUUUCUAUAUAAGUUUUGAAAUUUUUGUGUUUGUAAUUUUUUCCUUUCACAAGUGUUUCAACUUGUGUCCAAUUUGUAUAGAAACCUUUUUGUGAUCCAUUGAAGAUCACAUAAAAUUUCUUUCCUACCAUUGACGUAUUUAUACCAACCAAUGGUUGAUUUUCUUCUUUUGGAUUUUGAAUAUCCAUUUGUUCUUGCGAACACUGAGGGAUAACAUGCUCUCCUGUAUGUAUUUGGAUUUGGGGUCCAUGAGAUUUGAUCUCAGUUUUAGGAAUUUGAAUUUCCUUAUGUACUUGAGUACACUGAGCUUGAAAAUGCUCUCUUUAUUUUCGCUGUUAGUUGAAUUAAUAUUGAUCUUUGUUUCUGUAUUUUUAUCGCCAUCUUGCUGAUUUUGAUAUUUUCUUCUUGGGGUGUUUGAGUAGAACUCUCCCCUGUUGAAAUAACAUAUGUUUUGAGAAGUCUAUCUAACUUCUUUUUCAAAACCAUUACCUUUUGUUGUUUUGUUGAGAUUUUCAAUUUCUUCCAUCUCAAUUUGAAUUUGAAGUUCUUCAAUUUGUUCUUCAAUGUUGGUCAUUUUUACCUGUAAUCGCAAACUCUCUAGUUAAUGAAUCAGCUAAAGAAUUAUUUUUUCCUUUGAUAAUUUCAAUUUUCAAAUCAUAAUGGCUGAACCACAUCUGCCGUCUGACCAAUUUUCAUUGUUUGUAGUCUGGAUGUACCUUAUUCUUCAUAAAAGAAUUACAAGUACUUGAAUUAGUUCUAAUAAUAAAAUUAUCAGAAAUUAUAUAAAGUCUGAAUUUUGUUAUAGCCUUUUUCAUAGCUAAAAUUUCUUUUCCAUUUAUGUGAUAAUUUCUUUCUGCUUUUGAAAAAGUUCCAGAAGCAUAUCCACAUAAUUUUUCUUCUAAUUGAUCUUGAAGAUCAAUAGCUUUUAGAACUGCUCCCCAAUGUUCUUGAGAUGCAUCUGUUUCAAUUAUCAGUUUAUCUCCUUCUUUAGGAUGAUAUAAUGAUGGUAAGAUUUUUAUUUUAGAUUUGAUUUUUCCAACAUAAAGAGUAUCAUCUUUAGUCCAAAUCCAUUUAAAAUCUUUUUUCAAUUUCUUUUAUAAUGGUGUCCUCAUUUUUGCUAAAUCUUUAAUGAAAGAUUCUGCAUAAGUGAGACAUCCAAGAAAUCUCAUUAAUUGUUUUUUAUCUUGAAUUUCAUUUGGAAAUUCAUUAAUACGAAUUAGAAUAUGAGGUUUAAAUUGUUUAUAACCAUUAGCUAUAUCUAAACCUAAAUAUCCAGUUUUUUCUUUAAACAAUUCUGCUUUCUUUUCAGAUAGCACAAUUCCUGCACUUAUUGCUUCUAUUAAAACAAUAAUUACAUGGUUUUCAUGUUCAUCUUCAGUAUCUGAAAAUACUAAGAUAUCAUCUAUAUAGACACAACAAAAUUUUUGAUGUUUCUUAAAAAUAUUAUCCAUAUGUCUCUGAAAGAUACCAGGUGCUUGUUUCAAGCCAAAUGAUACUACUUUUCAUUAAUAGUGUCCUUGUGGACAACUAAAAGCUGUAAGAUGUUUAACUUCUUGGUCAAGUAUUACUUGCCAAAAACCUGAUUUACAAUCAAAGGAUGAAAAGAUUUUCUUUUCUUUUAUUAAUUGUAAAAGACUUUGCAUAUUUGGAAUUAAAUAUCCAUCAGUCUUAGUUAUUUUGUUUAGUUGAGAAUAAUCUACAACCAUUCUAACUUUUCCAUGUCUUUUUUCUGAUUCUUUUCGUACCAUAAAAGCUGGUGAAGAAAAUUGAGAUUUACCUGAUUUAAUUAAUUUUAAAUUAAUUAAUUCUUUUAUUUGAAUUGAGAAUUCUUCUCUAUCUUUAGGGCUAUAAGUCAUUGCUUUAGCUCUUACAAUAGAUGUUUUGAAUUCAUCAAGUAAUUCAAUAGUUGUUGUCAUAUUUCCUUUAUUCUUUUGUGUUUCUAAAUGAUUUUCUGAACAACACUUAUUUAAAAGUUUUAAAAUUUCUCCCCUUCGAGAAUUUAUUUUAAAACUUUGUUUUUCUUCAAAAUUUAUAAAAAUAUGACUCUUUUGAGCAAUAUUUUCACCUUGAAUUUCUUUAAAAUUCUUUUUCUUAUUAUCAAUUUUCAUUGUAUUCAAAAAUUUUUCUUGUAAAGCAUUCCUUGCUAAUGCUUUUCUUUGUUUUGGAAUCCAUAGUCUUUUACCAAAAAGAGUAAAACUUAUAGAUUCAAUUUCUUCUAUGAAUGGAUGGUAUAACUGACAAAAGUUAUUUCCAAUCAUAAAAUCAAUUCCAGUUUCCAAUUGGUAAACUGUUGGUAUUUUAAAAUAAAAAGUUUUCCAUUGGGAUUUAUGAAAUCCAUUAAUCUCAAUGUUUAAUCCUUUUACUACUUUUGAAGUUUUAAUUUUAGAUUUAUCUGCUAUCUUAAUUUUUAAGAUUUUUUCAGAUGUAACCCAAAAUUAUUUUGGUAUUAUCCAUUUACUUGCAGUGCAUACUAAUGCUCUAGUAUCUACAUAAGCAUGAAUAUUAAUUUUUCUAUAUCCUUUAAAACUUAGUUUUAUAGGUAUAUAGAUUGAGUUUGGAUUAGUAAUAUUUUUAUUACUCAUCUUCAGAUGUUUCUGAUUCUGAAUAAUCAUAUUCAGAUUCUGUAGUUAAGUAAUACAAUGAUUCUGUAUCACUAGAAUCUUCUACUGGAUAGAAGUUUUGUUUUUGAAAUAUAGUAAGAAGUUUAAUUCUUUCUUCAUUUCCUUGUCUUGCUGGGCAUUCAUUUGCAUAAUGUCCAGAUUCACUACAGAGCCAACAUCUGCAAUUCUUUUUCUUUUGAGGACAAAAUUUCUUUUUAUACAUUUUUUGUUUUUGAUAUUCCCUUCCGCGGGAUUUUUUUAAAAAAAAUUUCUUUUUGAAAUUUUUUUCUUUAUAUGGUUUUUUUAUAUUUUUUAAAAGUAUAUUUUUCUUUUUAAAAGAUUUUCUUUUCUUUUCUUUUUUCUUAGAUGAUAAACAUCCAUAUUGUCCUGAAAUUCUGCUGAGAUAAUUUUCACAACAGAGUUUUGGAUUUUUAUAAAUUGCUUGUUUACUAUCUCUUACCAAAAUACUUUCUUUACAUUUGUCUGCAAGAAGAUUUCUAGUAAGUGUUACAACCAAUCCUAAAGAUCCAUCAAUCUUUAAAUUGAGUUUAAGAUCGAUAUGAUUUUCUUGUUUGCUUAUAGCAUUAUUAAAAAGUUCCAUUACCUCAUGAUUGAAUGGCUCAGGAAGUUUUCUAAUAAAUUUUUCUGUUAAUUCACUCCAUUUGUUUUCAGGACAAAUGUAGAAAUAUUUUGAAAAUUCACAUGUAUAAUUUUCAAAGUGACUCAUAUCACAUAGAUUUAUUUUUUCUAAGUGAUUAAGUGCAUCAGCAAUUUCAAUUGUCGUUCUUUUACUUUUAAAAACUUCUUAAGUUUGUCCAGUAAAUUGUUUAUACAAUUGUUCAACAAUUCUUUUGAUAAAUUGUGGUAUACUAUAUUGAGAAUAUGCCCAAAUAGUAUUUUUUACAUUAUAAUCAAAUUUUUCUAAAAAUGAUCUGACAUUACCCCUGGUACUUGCUAGGACAUAAUUCCAUGAAUUAGCUUCAUGUUUGAUUAUUUCUUUAUUGAUAAUCAUGGCUAUCAUAAGAUGAUUAUACCAUGCAUCAACAAUUUUUUCUGGUUCAAGUGUACAAUCUAAAUCUAGAAUUGGAACUUCUUGUUGAUUGUUUCUUUUUGGAACAAAUUCAGAUUGUAACAAAUUCUGAUUUGUUUCUUCAUUUGUAGGAACUGGUCUAGGAUUAUAAUCUCCUUCAACUCUUUUUCCAUCUCCUACAGGAUUAGAACGAGAAGUUUCUUCAAUUCUAAUGCCUUGUUCUGUUUUAGGUUCCCUAAAAACAAUAGGUUCUGUAUUAGUAAAGAAUCUUUCGUGAAUCACAAUAUCUUCAUCAGAUUCAGAAGUUUCUUCAUUUUCGCUUAAGGAUUCAUUUGGUUUUGAUUCCUCGGUAUCAAAUUUUAUUGUCAUAAGAUUUUCACUGUUUCCAAUAUUAAUCUUUCUAACAAUAUUUUCAAUUUUUUGUAAUUCUUCAUCUUCAAAUGAAAGAAGUACAUUUAAGAGCUCUAGAUCAUUGCUAGUCUCAUAAAUGUUUUUCAAGAUUUUUUCUGAAUUUUGACAUAUCAAUUUAAAAAUUUUAUAUCAAAAUUUCCUUCAGAUUUGUUUGGUUGAAUGUCUUCCCCUUUUUCAAAAGUUCUUAAGGAUAUUUUAGAAUUUUUCUUUUGUAAGGGUUUUUCAUUCUUAACACCGGCUAUAAUUAUAGCAGAAUGUUUUUCUAUAGAUUUUUCUGUAUUUUCUUGAAGAUUUUUAAGAGUAACCUUAAUUUCUUCAAUACUAUCUUUUAAGUUUUUUAUUUCUUUCAUAAUAUCCAUUAUGGACAUUUUACUCUUCUGGUCCAUAAAGAGUUUUAGCCAUUUCAUUGACUGUAUCUCUUAAUUCUUUUAAUUAUAUAUCUCUGCUUGUUUCAACUUCAUUUUCUUCUUUCCAUUUGAAUUUUGGAAUUUGUUUUUUAUUUAAAGAUGAACUUCUAAUUAGAAGUGGUCUUUGUUCUUUAACUAAAAGUCUUUGGUCAUCAAGAUUGAUUUCCAAAGAUUUUCUGGAUGGUUGGAUUAACCAUUCAAAUUCGGUUCCCUUAUGUUUCAAAUAAUCUGAAAAUAAAGGAUCAAUUUUUAUUCCUUUUGGUUCUUUAACAAUUGUCAUAUUAUGUUGGUUAUGUAUUGAAUAACUAACAAGAUAUGAUAUUGAAAAAGGUGCAUUAUUAUCUUUGACUAUUGAAAAAGGGGCUUAGCCCCUGUUUGGUCCCCAUUACGUAGAAAAAUUAAUGGGGAGAAUAAUAUUUUUUUGAAAAAUGAGUGAUUAAAAAAAUGAAAAGUUUUCGAUUUACGUGUAAUAUUAUUUUAUAGAAGAUUGUGUGGUUAAAAAUAGGAGAGAGAAAAAUGAAAUGUAAUAAAAUUUAAUGUAAUGAGGCUCAAACAGGGGCUAAAUCUAUUCUUCCAUACUUGUGUAUAAAAGAAAGUAUUCCAUCAAAGUUUUUAUCAUGUAGACUUACAAAAAGUUUUGGAUAAACUGUAAAAAUUAAUUUUCCAAAUGCUAGGUUCCCUUCAAGAGAUCCUAAGACCAAUUUGGGGAAAAUCAUUGCGGAAGUCUAUAAUUUGUAUGUAUUCUAAAGAAAAGUAUACAAUUUUAUGUAGGCAGUAGAAUCUAUAUGGAAAUCAUGUUUAAAUAAAUUUAAAAAAAUUCUUAAAUUCAUAACUUUCUUACAGUAUGUAUAGAUUGAUGACUUUUCCUUACGUUUUCUGUCUGUAUACUCCUUUGCCUCACUUUGAUGAAUCUUCUUGGACUGUCUUCCCUUAACGGCCACCCGCUUGAUGGUACUUUAGUUCCAUUGAUUCUGUAAAGAUCCGUACAUGAUUUGUAUAUAGAACUGAAAAGUAUGAAGAAUUAACUAAAACAUGAAAGUUUUAUUUAAUAAGAAGCUUUAAGAGUAUACUCUUAAAUUUAUUUAAUUACAUGAAAAGAUCCAAAAAAAAAUCUACUGUUUUUGAGAAUUUAGCCUAGUAGCGUGUACAUUUAGUAUUUUAGAAUUAGAAAAUUACAUGAAAAGAUCCUCUGGCUUAUUCUCUUUCGACUACUCAUUUCCACACCCCUGCUCUAUCGCGCCACACGUCAUUUCAUCUCACCUGGGCCAACGAUUUUGGCUUCCAAUUGACCUGAGAGUGAGCUAUUUUAUCUGUAAGUAAUAGGUAAAGAACGAUGUGGGUUUUCGGAUACUGAUCUCUGAUCUGGAAAGCCGGCUUCUAUUUUGAUGAUCGCCUUGUCGGUUUCAUCAAAGACUACCGCCGUGUUUUCUAUCAAGGUUAGAAGAUAAUCCCCUCUUCGAGUAAUUUUUUUUUUGUAAAAUAGAGUAUUGGGUUCAAUAUAUCGAUUUAGGAGUAGUCCAAGUCAUCAAACAGAUGGAAUUGCUCGUUAUAGCUUUUUUGACUCUGAUACUCUGCGUUGAUUCUUGGGUUCUAUGUUUAAAAGGCUAAUCUUGUUAAGAGGUCUUGUAGAUUUAAGCAUAAAUCAUAUAUUCAAUGGGCUGGAGUGGUUUUUUCUUGAUGCUGACAGUGUGAUUCCAUUAAAAUUAUGUGUGCCUGCGGGGAUCGAGAUGAUGAAACUUUUUGUUGGUUUUGAGUUUAGGGAGCACUGAUCACAGAGGGACUCCAGAGUACCCGGGAAGAACAGUCACAUUGGAGCCUGCUGAGGGGGAGGUUUGCGUGAGUUCUUUUUGACCUAUCUCUCCUUUUCUUGUGUUUUCUGUAACGGCUUUUGCAUUUUAAAUUAAUGGUACAAUAAGAAGAAAUUUAUCAAUUUGGCCGUUCUUGGAUAUAUAAUGGAAUUGUAUGUAUAAUAAAACAGCUAAUCUGAAAUUUUUAAUUGGUAUUAGCAUAGUCUGUUGUUUAACUGGUACUCAAAUGGUAGUAAAGGACAUUCGAACAACUCACAAGAACACCAGAUGAUGCAGAUUACUGAACAACCAAGUUGAAGUAGCACAUAAGAGUUGAACUCUCACCUUGGAUCAGAAGGAUGGGGUUCGAUUUCUGAGAAGUGUGUUCAUGGAGUAUUUUGAAUUUAGAAACAUCGAGCACUUUUGAGAUUUUAUUUGCAUGGGACUGGAUUUUGAGUUGUGAUUAGCUAAUAGCUAUUGCGAGCUUGUGAUCAAUGAGAAUUGAAGUCAUGGGUUAGAAAAUUCCUAUGGUGGUUGUUGGAGUUCGAAUUUGAAGUUAAGAUUGUUAAUCAUAACAAUUUUAAUCAGCAGUGAUUUUAAUUUCUGGACAUAUUUUAUGCAUAUGUGAUGUGUAUGUAUAGGUAAGUUGAGGUAGAAUGUCAUUUACAUAAAAUGUACUUAUGAGGGGGUCUCAUGGUCAUUUUUAGUAGCACUAUUAACUUGUGUUGGACCAUGCGUCUCUGUCCUAGUAAUAUGUAAUACACACAUGUUGAUCCUUGAUAAGAAGUCAAAGCACAAGAAAUUUUACUUAGAUUGGAGUUAACUUUAGAUGAUAACAGUUGAAUCAUUGCUGGUUUUACAAACAAGGAUCAGUGAUGGAUAUUGGAAUUGGAAAACAUUCAUUAUCUUAAGCAGUGUAUAUUGUUGAACAUAGACUGAAUCUCUAUGGAUAAUGUCAUAAUACCGGCUUUCACAUUUUUCUAAAAUAUGGUUCUGGUAAGUCUCUGAAUCAUGAGACGGGGUCAUUAAAUCAUUCUUGUUGAACCUGUGUACCAUUUUCUUUGCGUGCUUGGUCUCUCCCGUCAUUAAUGAUUUGUUAUUUAAUUCUUUUCUAUGUUGUUUUGUGCAUGUAAAUUCUACUGAGUAUGAAUUUAGUAUUUAAAAUCCUUAUAAAAUGUAUGAACUUGACAAAUAUUUGAUAUGGAAGAUCAGUGGGGUGUUGCCUACAAGAUUAUCCGGAAGGAAGACCAGGAGGGUGCAUUGGAGGUAGGUUUUAACUUUUAGAAAAUAUAUAAAAUGUUGGAUUCUGUCUCUUUUAUGUAACAGUUAUUAAAAUUAUUUCUUUUUGGUGGUAAAUGAAUUCCUUCCAAUUGAUCUCGAUGAUAAAUUUGAAGAUAUGUCUUCACCUGUGCUUUUGAUUUUACUGGCUACUGUGACAGUAGAAGUUUUCAAAUAUUGGAUUGGUCCAAAAGAAAACCUCUGCAAAUCUAGGCACAAAGAAAACCUUCAAAAGAGGGCCUAGAAGUCAUAUAUGCUAUUUUAAUUUAAGAUAAUAGUCAAGUAAACAAAGAAUAAGACAUAAUAUUCUGAUAUUUUAGUUAUAGAUUGUUCCUUAUACUCGAGAGUUUGUAAUUUUCUUAAAAAAAUUACACUUUCUUGUCCAUUGUAUCAUUAAUAUUCCUAAUUCAUAUCUUUGUUUGGAUUAACUCUUCCCUUCUUAGAAGGGUAAUAUUAAAUGGAAUGAAAUCAUAAAACAAGCAAAGAAUGGACACUAGUGGUUCCCCCUUAAUGUGAGAUAUGUGUUUGCUGGUUUUCACUAUAAUGGACAGCAAGAGUACUAGGUUUCGUCACGCCUCUCCCACACCUGAAAGCUGCCACCUAAAAUCCUUUGUGUAUGUAGGAAUCUCAUGGCGACCUAAUACAUGUAUGGAAUACAGGCCGGAUUGUAGUCGAGUGGAUAAGUGGAGAGUAUGAUUAGGCUCCCAUAGUCCAAAAUAUCAGACACUGAGGGAGAUUUGUUUACACUCCUGUUGCAUGUAUCAGUCUUUUCUUGUUCAUUAAGUACCUGUUUUCGGCUUAGUCCUUGUUUUCUCCGUUUCUCAAAUGAAAUGCCUCUCUGCUACAUUGAAUAGCAUCUAGAAGUAAGGGAAAAGCAGUACAACAUGAAGGCUUAUCUUGACUUCUUCACUGUAAGUCUAAAGUUCAUCCAAUAAUUAUGUUGAUGUCUUCAUUUGAUUUUAUCUAAAACAUCAAAUUGUUGGAGCAAAUUCUGAUUGUGCAUGUACAUGUUAAAUUUUAUUUCAGGAGCCCACUGCUACAAUGCCUGCAGUUUCCAAUGUAUUGGUGUAAGUUGCCCAAACCGCCACUUACUAUCGCGCAAAUCCUCUAGAGCAUGUUCAGUACACAAUAAUGUGCCAUUUUAACUUUUCUUUAUUAGUAGAACUCGAUACUCAGCAGCCCACCACAUAGAACAAGUCAAUAGAGAAUGCGAUUGGAGGAUAAAAUAGAUUGGAUAUUGACUUCUUUUCCUUUUUAAUAUUGAAUAGUACAUUGCAGCCCCUUAACAAAACAAACCAUUAGAGCACAUUUGGAAAAUUAGUAUUGGACAAAGCUACACGCGACAACAAUCAAGAUUUUACACUUCUCUUUCUUUCUAAUAUUUUCGAGUAUUGUGCAGUUUGUCUUACCAAACAAACCAUUUUAAUGUUAUAUUUGUGACAAUAGGCCAUUUCAGAACUUAAUAUUUUGACUGUUUAGAUACAUAGCAUCUGCAGACAAGAAGCUCAACAAGAACUACUUGGGACCUGCUUCAUUUGAAGAAAUUGCAGAGUAUGUAUUUUAUUUCUCUGAGACUCAUUUUGCAUUUUGUACAAGAUGUUCUGUAAUCCUCUUUCAAAAGUAAUUUGGAUGUCAGCUCCAAUUAUCAUAGAAGAUGUUCUACUAAGCUUAAAAGAAAGUUAAACUAACUUUCGAGCGAAUUUUCAUUACAAACUUGUUUAAUUACUUCACUUUUUCUUAAAAGUUGAAAAAGUUACUCUAUAAAGUAGGGGUUACUUUCAAAAUAAAUAAAUUAUUUCCAACUUCCACGGUAGAAAAAUAAUAUAUUUUGAAAAUUGCUUAUUUACAUAUAAGUUACUUAUAAGUAAUUUUUUUAAGCUUAGACAAACAUCCACCCGUUCACCUCUCUAAUUCUUAAGUCAUGGACAAAACGAACAUCAAAUAGUAUUAUUACAUUUUUCUCUAUAUAUUUUGAGAUAACAUUCUAUCUAUCAUUACGUUUUCAAAUAGGCAUUUCACGUGGUUGAAAACAAUCAUAUUUUGAUUCAUUUUUUUGUAAAAUGUAUAUGCUUCAAGAUGAACAUUUAGGCACUAUAUCCAUCACGAAAAAUCCAUGCAAACUAUGUAAAACGUAAUAAUCAUACUUAUCUUGAUUUUUGCAGUCAGAUUGGUCACGCAGAUGGCCCCUCAGGACCAAACAGAGAUUAUCUUUUUAAACUUGAAACUGCACUUAUUCAAAUAGGUGAAGUCAUAUAAGUUCCUUCUUAAUAUGACAAAACUUGUACCGACUACCUUCUCAUUUCCUUCUCUGUCUGUCAUUACAAGCAUGUUUGGUACAUUGGAUUGGAAUGCAUUUGAGACUAUACUAAGUGAAUUGUGCCUGACCCUUUAUUUUCUUUUCUAGUCCAGGGAAGGGAGGGGAGAGGAUGAAGUUUGGGGUGGGGUGGGGUCGAUCGAGUGGAACCAGUGGGGUGUUUGCAGGUUGGGCUAGGCAAGAAAGAUGACUAUUUUUUUUCCCCUACUUGUAUGCAUGUAUUCUUAAUCGAAGGGUAUAAUUGUCUUUUCGUGGCAACUGAACAAAUACUUGGACGAACCCAUUAGCAUCGACCAUGAGACAAGUGCUUGGGAGUGGAAGGUUGGGGACACGAAUAUCAGAAAAACAAAGGUUUAAGACUGAAGUGCAAAACGGUUUGAAGGUUAAGAACGACGUUUGGAACACUAAGUAUAAUUUGUCACCUAUCUCUGGUCUGUGAUCAUGUUGAGUCUUGUCCAAUCUAUCGACGUACCCAUACGCUUGGCGCAUUUUACAAGGUAGAUUGUAUGGUAAGAGACUAAGUGUGUGUUUGAGCCAUAUUAUUUUAAAGGAAUGCACUUUAAAAAGGUAGGUUGAUAGACAAUGUAUAGUUAAAAAAUAAGGAAAGUUUUUGGAUUUGCGUGUAAUAAUAUUUUAUUGAAGAAUGUGUAGUUGAAAUGAUGUCAAAUCACUGAUUAAAAAUGUAUUUUUUUUGAAAAAAUGCGGCUCAAACAUGGCUUAAAUAUUGUGUCUCAUUCUAUCUGAUCUUAUAUGGUGCUACCUCCAAAACAAGACGUGUACUUUUGCUUAUCGUAUUUCAUUAUUUACACUCUGCUCAAUCAAUUUUACUGUCCAGGAUGUGAAGACGAACAUGUCAAUGAUCUUGCCGACGAAGUGAGGCGUAUAGUGUUAAAAAGAGGGACUGACCACUUGAUGAAGACUGGGGUUCACUGAGCAUCGCAUGGACAUUGUUUUGGUAAUUCUUUAAAGCCACAAUGAAGCUUAUUCGAAGCUCAGGCUAUUGAGAUAAUGAAAUAUAAAUUGACUUCGCUUUAUACUGUUUCUGCUUAUUUUCAUGCACGACUAAGUGUAAAUGUUAUGUACUAAUGAAGAAGUUGUGAAUGCGUGACUAAUAUGAUCCACGCUUUUAUUACUUCUUUUAUCAGAACUUGUAUGUCUUUUGCAUUAACGUUUGAUGUUAUUUUAAAUAUUAUUGUUUUCGUUAGAAUGUAUGGUUGAAAAUGAUCUUUAAAAAAUCUUUUCCAAACAAACCAUCAAUAAUAUAAGUUAAUAAACUCGGCAAUUGAAAAACUCUUAACCCAUGAUUAUUCAUUGUCAAUUCUAAGCUAUAAUUUCUUUAAUGUAUUGGCUUAAUUUGCUGCUAAGCAAUUAUACUAUACCUUGAACACAUUUGUUACAUCAUAGUAAAUAGGAUUGCACGAAGAAUAAAUAAAUUGUUACCUUAUUGUUUAUUUAAUGGCGUCCAUUAGAGAUCAAGGAAAGUCUUGUAAUAUGAAAUCUAUAAAGGUCACCAUCGUUUUUAUUUAUUAAAAAUGUUAAUAGGUGAGCGAAAAUUCCGUGUUUGGCUAAUGUUUGUAGUCAACACAUUUUGUGGGAUUCACAAGUAUAACAUACUUAUCCACAACUUAUUCCUAUUUAUUUAUAAUUUAUACAAUUUAUGAAUACUUCCCAAAAAUGCCACAUUCUAUAUGUCUUCUUGAACUAAAUAUGAUUAAGAAAUAUAAGUAAAUGAGAUGUUUGUUCAAUAAUUCUCUUUCAAUUAAAAAAAAAAAAAAGGUUGAUCGUAAACAAAGAAAAGAAACAUGUGAGACACUUAUCCAUUUACCUUUGACAUGUAAAUAGAACGUAUAUAAGUAUGAGAACAAGGUACAUGAGCUCUAUCGUACCCUAAUGUUCAAUUUAGUACCCGUUUGGCUCUCCAUUUUUUCAAAUUAAAAUGGGUGAAAUAAUAUUUUUUUAACAAUGAGUGGUUGAAAAAGAAAGAAAAGUUUUUUAUUUAAGUGUAAUAUUAUUUUAUAACAAAUUAUGUGAUUGAAAAUUUGGUAGAGAAAAAUAAAACUUAAUUUAAUAGGAGUUAAACGGGGCUUAAUGUGCGAAAACAAAUAGACAUAUUUGAACGAAAUUAAAUAUUAAAAGACAAUUGAAAUGUUUAAUCAAUUAAUGUCCAAUCUAUCAUAUAAAUGCAAGCCAACAAAUUUCAACGCCAUUAAUGAAAAGAGUACAUGAAAUGUUUAGUCAUGCAUGCUUCUCCAAUCUUACAUGCAAUUUUUUAUUUUUAUUUUUCAUGCCCAUGAGAGUGAUAUAAACUUAACAUGUUAUCAAACCUUAAACUUCACAUCCACGAAUCUUGUAGACUAGAGUGAUCAUGUUGAUGAUGGGAUAAGAAUCAGAUUAUCAUCAUACACUGUAAAACAACUAUGAUUUCUGAAAAUCUUAGUUAUUGUCAGUACUUGUAUACUACAACAUGUGUUGCUCUGAUUACCUCUAUGGUGACUUUUCUAGCUCUAAUGUCCUUUCUGACGAAAUUAUGGCAAUUAUAAUACCUGAAAAUCUGAAUCAUCAUCAACACUUUGAAAAUACAGAUUAAAAUAUUUCGGCUACCCAAGCUCAAAUUUCUCCUCCAUUAAGCCUAACCUGAGAAUUCAAACAUAUCGCAAAACAAGUCCAUCCUAUAAAAAAAAGAUAGAUAAAUAAAUAAAUAUAUUACAACGUUGGGAAUCAAACAAGGACUUAAUAUUUCAUACUAAACGUGCUUCAGUCUCUCGAGCACAAGACAAAAUACAAGGAGCUCUAUAAUUCAAAUAGUUUUUUGUACAAAGAUUUUUUGUAAAAAUAAUUAAAUGAUAUCAAAUAUAUUGAGAAUAAAAUUUAUUUUUGUAUUGUUGUUUGAUUAAGAAUUAUCUCAGCUUUGACAUCUAGAGCAUGAGUAGGAACAUCACUUCACUAUAACUCUAUAAGAAUCAACUUAUUCCAUGUGCUGUUGGUGAGGAAUCUGUGCGGAUACUGUAACUAAGGCAUUAAUCAUGUUUAGCCAAGUUAACUUGAAAAGUAAAAAUUACUUUAUAGUAAUAAAUUUUUUAUCAAAAAUAUUAAGGGGAGUGUAUUUAAUCGAGACUUUUAAAGACUUUUAGAGAUUUAAAAAGUUUGGGUGUAUUCAAUUGAAACUUUUAGAGACUCUAUAAAAGUUUGGGUGUAUUCAAUAGAGAUUUUUAUAGACUUUUAAAAAGUCUCCAGAAGUUACGGGGUAUUCAAUUGAAACUUUUUAGAAGUCUCUACAAGUUUUGGGGUAUUCAAUUUAGAGAGACUUUCAGGGAAUUUAAAAUUUCUUGGACUUUCAGAGACUUUUUAAUAGAAAAUAUAAAUAGGAUUUUUCUCCCAAAAUCUCCCAUCGAUAGAGAAAUUUCUAAAAAGAGUAUGCUAUUCUUAUUUCUCUCUAGGUUUUUCCUCUAUCUCUUCCAAUUAGGUAUUUCUUUGAAUCUUUGCUAUGAGUUUUCUUCAAAUCAGGUUACGGUAAAUUUUCACUAGUUGAUCUCUAUCUCUCCCUCUAAUUUCAAAGAUUCGUUUUUAAGUGAAUGUUGUGAAUUCUCAUAAAUAUUCCUCGAUAUCUCACAUUUAACACUGUGAAAAGCAUAUUUCCUUAAAAAAAAAAAAAAUCCUCAAAAGUCUUUAGUAAAAGUCUCCACAAAUCCAGGAAAAACUUUUACUAAUUCCUACCAAAUCCAUAAAAAUUAUUCACAAAGUCAACAAAAGUCACCCACUUAAAAAAGUCUCCAAAAGUUUUUAAAAAUCCCAAUUGAAUACACCCCCCUAAGAGUACAAUUCUAUUUAAUAAUAUUUUGCUGCUGCCAUAUUCAUUAUUAUGGGGGAAUAAUUAUAUGCCUAACAAUAUUUUACGAUCUCCAUAAAAUAAAAUCAGUAAGAGAAUUUCUUAAAUUCUUUAUGUCAAUUCAUUUCCUUUUUCUUUUACAAUAAAAUAUUAAUUUACUUAACAAAUGUUGGAUAAAUCUUCUUUUAUUCUUCUCUUUCCUCCAUUAUUCUAAAAAUAUUAUACUUUCUCAAAAUUUGUGUGUUUUGUGACAUUUCUAUGCAUCUUAUUGAGUACAAUUGCUUGCUAAAAAUCAAUAUAUUUGGUAAAGUAUGUGGGACAUACUUAAUAUAUAGUAUUAAAAAAUAACAAAAUUAAAACAUUUAUUUAUUAUAUUGUUCAGUCUCCUCUAGUUAUAUGUACGAGACAUGCGCCUAAUCUCUUAUAGUAUUACUAUAUCAUAUAAUCGACAUUUUUUUUUUGAAUUGUAUGGGGCGUUUUCUUAAGUGAAACUUAAAGAAUAUAGAAUAAUAUAGUUUGUAUGAAGUGGGGAUCAUCCACAUCAAUAUUAUUUGAGUUUUAAGUAUUUGAAAUUUUGUAUAUUUAGAAUACGAAAUUAUCAAUAAAGUCCUUUUCAAAGAUUCCUUUACGGAUAAUUGCAGUAGAAGCUCCAAAUUUUUGAAAUACUAUUAGAAAUUCCCCACACCUUUGUUUAUUGCAGUCGUCACCCCCAAUAAUUUCAAACGUUGCAUGGGAGGCCCUUAUGGACGAUUUCCAUCGGUUGAUUAAAAAAUGAUUUUGAACGCAUUUUAACAAUUUUUAAAGGGACGGAAUUAUAACUUUACAUUAAAACAAAAAAUCAAAAUAUAAAAUUGGUUUUCUUCUUCCCUAACCCACCCCAAAUCCACCCCCACCCCACAGUUGGAUUUGGAAAAUUGAAGCACUAAAACCAACCCACAAAUGUAGCCCUCCUUUUAGAGUUGAUCCCUCAAAUUUUUCAGAUAAUAGUGGGGGUGGGGGUGGGGGUGGGCAUUGGUUGGGAAAGAAGAAGAUCAAUUUUAUUUAUUGAUUUUUGAUUUUAAUGUAAAGUUACCAUUCUCACUCUUUAAAAUUGUUAAAAUGUGGUCAAAAUCAUUUUUUUGUUCAAUUGACGGAAUUUUGAAUGAAAACCGUCCAAAAGGAUCUAACAUGCAACAUUUGAAAAGGUUAAGGUGACUGUUGCAACAAAUUAAAGGUUUAGAGAAAGUUUGCUAGUGUUUCAAAAGUUUGAAACUUUUAUUACAAUUAUCCCAUUUCUUUAUGGAAAGGCUUUAAAGUGUGGUUAAGAAUUCCCCGUACACGUAACGAAAAAUUUAUCAAAAAUAAAAUUAAAUGAAAAAGAAAAGGAAGACACAUCCCUAGAAUUAUUAGUUGAGAAUUCUAUAUCGUCAAGGACCACUUUAUUAAAAUCUUUUCUUUUAGAGAAGAUGAUAUGAAAGUGAGUGGAGAAAGAUGGAAAAAAUCGUUAUAAAUUUGUACAAAUACAUUAAUUCCCACAAAAAAAAAAAAAAAAAUAAUAGUGCUAGCGAUGAGGGAAAUGAUUAAUUGGUUCGUAGUAAUUAAAAACUCAAUAGUCUUUGUAAUGUAAUUAUUGACCUCGUUGUUAUGUAAUAUUAAACUUCUAUUGAAUGCAAAUAAUUUGUGUAUACUUUGGAUUUAUGUGUAAGGACAAGAUAACCAUUGGCCUUUGCUACUACUAUUUGAUUUAUUUAUUAAAAAAAAUAAAAAUCCGAUCAAAGAUAAUUAGUCAUGUACCUAAUAAACAAGAUAAAUAUGCAUGGCAUUUUCAAGAAAAGUGUCCACUCGUCAUCCCACAAUCCUACAUGUAUCACAUAGCACUAAACCCUAAUAAAUACUUGGUGGUCAUUCUAUAUGUCUUCUUGAACUAAAUAUGAUUAAGAAAUAUAAGUAAAUGAGGCGAUUCUCUUUCAAUUAAAAAAAAAAAAAAAAAUUUGAACGUAAACAAAGAAAAGAAACAUGCGAGACACUUAUCCAUUUACCUUUGACAUGUAAAUAGAACGUAUAUAAUUAUGAGAACGAGGUACACGAGCCCUAUCAUACCCCCAAUGUUCAAUUUAGCACCCGUUCCCCCUCCCCCUCCAUUUUUUCAAAUUAAAAUUAGUGGAAUAGUAUUUUUUUUAAUAAAAAAAUGAGUGGUUGAAAAAAAAAAAAAAAAAAAAAAAGUUUUUUUUUUAAGUUUCUCAAAAUUUGUGUGUUUUGUAACAUUUCUAUGCAUCUUAUUGAGUACAAUUGCUUGCUAAAAAUCAGUAUAUUUGCUAAAAAUGUAGCCCUCCUUUCAGAGUUGAUCCCUCGGAAUUUCCAAAUCAUAGUGGGGUGGGGGUGGAUUAGGGAAGAGGAAGACCAAUUUUGUUUUUUGAUUUUAAUGUAAAGUCACCAUUCUACCUCUUUAAAAUUGUUAAAAUGGGGUCAAAAUCUUUUUUUUUUUCGUCAAUUGACGGAAUUUUGAAUGAAAACUGUCCAAAAAAAUUUCACAUGCAACGUUUGGAAGGGUUAGGGUGACGAUUGCAAUAAAUCAAAGGUUUAGAGAAAGUUUACUAGUGUUUCAAAACUUUGAAACUUUUGCUACAAUUAUCUCAUUUCUUUAUGAAAGGGCUUUAAAGUGUGGUUAAGAAUUCCCUGUACACGUAACCAAAAAAUUAUCAAAAAUAAAAACUAAAUGAAAAAAGAAAAAGAAAAAGAAGGCACAUCCCUUGAAUUAUUAGUUAAGAAUUCUAUAUCGUCAAGGACCACUUUAUUAAAAUCUUUUCUUUUAGAGAAAAUGAUAUGAACGUGAGUGGAGAAAGAUGGAAAAAUCGUUAUAAAUUUGUACAAAUAUAUUAACUCCCACCAAAAAAAAAAAAAUAGUGCUAGCGAUGAGGGAAAUGAUUAAUUGAUACGCAGUAAUUAAAAACUCAAUAGUCUUUGUAAUGUAAUUAUUGACCUCGUUAUUAUGUAAUAUUAAACUUCUAUUGAAUGCAAAUAAUUUAUGUAUACUUUGGAUUUAUGCGUAAGGACAAGAUAACUAUUGGCCUUUGCUACUACUAUUUGAUUUAUUUAUUAAAAAAAAUACAAAUCCAAUCAAAGAAAAUUUAGUCACGUACCUAAUAAACAAGAUAAACAUGCAUUGCAUUUUCAAGAAGAGUGUCCACUCAUCAUCCCAUAGUCCUACAUGUAUCACAUAGCACUAAACCCUAAUAAAUAUUUGGUGGUCAUUUUGCAAAAUAUAAUAAAAAUAAUUUAAUUAUGGAUGGUUCAACAUAGUAUAAAAGCAAUAAAAAAUUUGAACUCAAGUCACAUGGGCUAUAUAGGAAAAUUGUGCACAUAUAUAUUCAAUUAAAAAAAAAAAAGAGCACGACCACGCGUAUGCACUGUUCUAAAAGUCACGUAGUAGUGGCGCCUAAGCGUCACCAAUGCGCAGCAGAGACGCCAAGUCAAGUGGCUUGGCGCCUUAUUUAGUGGUCAACAGCAAUCGUAGACCGCUAAUGCGUGCAUAGACACGGUUAAUCAAGCCUAGGCAAGCAUAACUAUCUUUUAUUUUAAAUUUUUUAAUUUUACAAUUCUUUUAAAUUAAAACUAAAAAGUUGAUUUCUUUAAUUCAUCAGUUCUAAAUUCAAAAUGGUCACUUGAAGUGUAAAACAAAGAAAAUCUCCCAAAAACUCCUAUUUAUUUACUAUUUAAUAUUUACAUUUGGAAAUUAUCUUUUUAUUGAAAACUUUGGAAAAAUGUAUAAAUUUCUUAUAAAUUUGUUUUAAAUGUUUGGUAGAUAUUAUUUUUAAUUAUCAAACGAUUUUUCCAUUGAUUAAAAAUUAAAAUAAUUUUAAAAUAUGAAAACGUCUUUUUAUGUUUUUUUACGCCUAUGCCUCGCCUAAGCUCCCCUAACCCAUAACUUGGCCUCCACGUAUCAUUACGCAUUACGUUUUUUAGAACACUGUGCGUAUAUGAGAGGACAUGUUUAGAAUUAAUUUCAAAAUAAAUAAUUUUACUGCAUUUAAUAGUUUAAUUUUUUAGAUGAAAUAGUUAACCAAUAACAAAUUAAACUUGGAAAAAUAUUUAACAUGUGGUGGAGAUUCAUGUUAAACUAUUUAUCUUUCUUUUAGGAUUAUUUUAAUUAGUGGAAAGAUUCUAGUUUCUUGAAUUUGAUUCCUAGAGGGGAAUAGAGUUAGUGCGCCAAUUUACAAGAAUUAUUCGAUCUUUUUCGCUUUUGAUUUGUGUAUAAAAGCCCAAAACUUCUCAUUUUUGUAUGUCCCAGGCAUUUACAAUUGUGCAUAGAAAAAUUUGAGACUGAGAAUGGGAGAGCAAUCCAUAUGGGGGAUUACAAGUAUGGCCUUCAAUAAGAUGAAGCCCUAUUUGGCCAUGGUGUCUCUACAAUUCGGCUAUGCCGGAAUGUACAUUAUCACAAUGCUUUCCUUCAAGCGUGGGUUCAGUCACUGGAUUCUAGUCGUGUACCGCCAUGCAGUUGCCACGAUGGUUUUUGCGCCUUUUGCAUUUUUCCUCGAAAGGUUAGUACAUCAUUCAUAUACAUGUGCAUAAGUGCAUGUAUGCCACGCAUGUUAGUUUUAUUUCUCCUUAUAAUAUAAAUUCAUUUUUCUCGCUGUGUGUGUGUGUGUAACAAUGCUAUUUGCAUGUUAAUUUGCAGGAAAAUAAGGCCUAAGCUAACACUAUCAGUCUUUUUGAAGAUAAUGCUGCUUGCUUUCCUGGAGUAAUCUUCUUGAUCAUUUCACUUAUUUACUACAAUAUAUUGCUUUUCUGCGCCAUCUUACAAGAUUUUCAUCUAAUAGUAUAGUUCAGUCGACCUUAUCUGCAUUAAAUAAACCCGAUUAGGCUGUAUAUGCCCAAAAUUUGAACUUAUCUAUCAUUUUUGUAUUAUCAUCAGGCCUGUCCUGGAUCAAAACUUGUAUUAUGUUGGAAUGAAGUAUACAUCAGCAACUUUUACAGCAGCAACUGUCAACAUUCUCCCAGGCAUCACCUUCAUAAUGGCUGUUAUUUUCAGGUAUAUCUUUACUUUCCCAGAUUCAUUAACAAAACUUUGUAUUAUACUAGUUUGACGGGGUUCAAAGGUGAAAAGAGAGUUAGAUCGAUGUGCACGGCAUAACUUUCCCAUUUUUUUUUUUGUGUAUUUAUUCUUAGUUGAGUUUGAGACGACAUCAACCAAAAUAUACUAAUUAAAAAAUGGGAAAAUUGUAGCAGCGGUUCCAAAUCUUUUCAAUUUUUGAAGACUUUACCAUAACUUUCAAUUUGUGUCAACAAAGAUCCCUAACCUUUCAGAAAUAUGCACCUAAGGUCCAAAUUAAUGGAAACUCAUCCAUAUGAACUUUAGCUGACCAAUAAAAUUGAACUUUGAACAAUUUUGACUAAUUUAAAAGGGUAAAAGUGUAACUUUGCUAUUUAACUCUAUAAAAAAAUUAAAAUAAAUAAUCAAAAAAAAAAUAAAAAUAAAAAAGGAAAAAUACUAUUCUUCUCACACCCUUAGCCUCCCAAAUCCACUACCCAAGCAGCCUCUUCAUUAGAAUUUUUACUUCUCCAACACAAAGAAUUUCCCACCUGAACCUUAUUUCCCUCACAAUACAAAUACCCAUCUUCAGAUUUCGUGAAACAAUGCUCGAGGUUCUGGGUUUGGAGCUCAACGAGGGAUAGAAUUGCUCGUAUGCACAAAGAGGCGAUUUUUGAAGUAGGCUUGAGUUUGAAGGUUGAAAUGGGUUUUAUGGGAAACCAAGUAAAUGAGGAUUUCGGGGAUUUUAUGGAAAGGAUUGUUGGGGUUUGAGAGAGGAGGUUUAUAGCCGCCAUUGUUAGGAGAAAGUGAAGAAAAUGCAACCGUUUACACAAAGAAAGAUGAUUUUUUGGUUUUUGUUUACGGUGGUGGCUGGAGAUGGCCGAAAGUAGCAGAUGGUCGGCAAGUUGUUUCUAGACUUUGGUUCUUUUUUUUUUUUUUGUAGGUGGGGGGAGGUAGGUGAGAUGUGUAAGAAGAUGAUAUUUAAUUUUUAUCUUUUCUCUCUUUUUAUUUUGUUCUGUUUUAUUUUAUUUCUGGGUUUUCCAUUAUUUUAUGUAUAUAAUAGCAAAGUUAUGAUUUUAUCCAUUUUAAUUUGAUCAAAAUUAGUCAAACUCCACUUUUGUUGGUUCAACUAACGGUCAAAUGGACAACAUUUGGAUCCCAAGUGCAUAUUUCUGAAAGUUAAGAACAUUCGUUGGCACAAAUCGAAGGUUAUGGUAAAAUCUGCAAAAAUUGAAAAGGUUUGGGAUCAUUGCUACAAUUUCCCCUUAAAAAAUUUAGAAGUGUCAAAAUAGGCAGAUCGACCCAAGCCAGGUUCAUCUGUAAAAAUUCCAAGCUGAUAACCAGUCUAGACUUGGCCCCUGAUGACAUGUUGCCCAUGUAGACAUUUUUAUCAAAAAAAAAAAAAUAAUAAUAAUAAUAAAUAAAUAAAUAAUAAUCAUUUUUAUUUUACUUUUACUAAAAUCCUUUUGAAAAAUGUGGGACCAAGCCUCUAAGACAAGCCAUCUGGAUCCAACCUACUCGUUUCGACACCUCAAGAAAAUCAUAUUAUCAUUUCUUCAAAACUAUUUAUUGCCUCUAUGUGGGUUUUAUUUUCAUUUGUAACUAAAAAGUUACUUUUAAAGGAUCCACGAUAUUAUACACAUAUCGACCACUCAUUUCUCGAAAAAUAAAAGAAACCCGAACAUAAGCAUAUUAAAAUUUUGUGCUUUUCUAAAUAAAUUUUAAUCUGAUCACAUGUACUUCAUAUUUACAGGUUGGAGAAGGUUAACUUAAAACAGAUACACAGUCUAGCAAAGGUCAUUGGAACUGGAAUAACACUCUUAGGUGCAAUGCUCAUGACAUUCUACAAAGGCCCUGUAGUUGAUAUUCUUCCCCACUCACUCGGCAGAAGCCACCAUGAAACCGCUAGCAUCGUUGGCUCAACCGAUCAACACUGGAUCACUGGCACAAUUAUGUUGCUUUCUUGUAUUGUGGGUUGGUCUGGUUUCUUUAUAGUUCAAGUAAGUUCUAUGUCCAUCCAGAUAGGAUUAGACAAGAUCAUUACAAAAUUAUAUCUAGUCCUAUCUAAUCGAGCUUAACAAAUAUGUCAUUUACGUACACUCAAAUUUAUUGAAAUUUUUUCUUUUAGUUUUAAUUAAAGUUAAAUAUUGAUAUGGUUUGGAUAGAAUAAGACACUGAAGGAAUAUCCUGCAGAGCUCUCUCUUACAUCAUUAGUUUGUUUCAUGGGAAUGGUGGAAGGUGGAGUUGUGGCUAUAAUAAUGGAACACCAUACCAAUGCCUGGGCAAUUGGCUUUGACUCAAGACUUUUGGCUGCUGUAUAUUCUGUGAGUAAAUUUCAAUAAUUAGGACGAAAAGCAAUUUAUAUAUUCUCUUAAUGACAUGUUUGGUAUAGGAUUAUAUAUGAUAACGCUGGACAAUACACUAUUUUGGCUUUAUUCCCUUUUGCAUAGUGUUGAUCAAUUACUGCAGCGACUAAAGAGGACGUAGUCUCAAAUCAAAGGGAACAUAAAUCUUGUGUGAUCUCGUUUGCAUUUUCUUCUAUGAAUUUUUGUUCUUGGUGGCAGAAUUAGAGUUUUUAAUUCUCAACAAGCAUUCAACUUUAUCAAACACACGACAGGCGUAUUGAGAAUAAAACUUUGUAACACAUUGAGAGAAUAGAGCUAGACUAGGUGAAAAAAACCCUAAAACGGUCACGAAGUAUGUACACUUUGCUCGGGAGCAUUCCCUAACAAAGCAUUGUAUAUUUUCAAGGAAUGCGAACAUUGAAACACUUUGUCUAAUUAAGUCAUAGUUUCAUGUCAAGAAUCAUAUCAUAAUAUGUGACAAAAUUUUAUGUUGACUAUCAACCUAUCGUAAUUCCUUCUUUAUAAGAUAUUGUAUCUAAAUAUAUGUACUUCAUUGCAGGGGAUUAUUUGCUCAGGAAUUGCAUAUUAUCUGCAAAGUGUUGUCAACAAGGCACGAGGUCCAGUGUUUGUGACUGCAUUCAGUCCUCUAAGCAUGAUAAUCACAGCUAUUUUGGGAGCCAUGGUUUUGGCUGAGCAAAUUCACAUUGGAAGGUAACUUUCGUGCUUGUAAUUUUGUUGAACAAGCCAAUUACUUUUAUUAUAUGAAGUUUUUUCGACAGGUAAAAUUUGUUUCAAAAACUUUAUACAGCGGCUAGCAGUCGUUCAUUGCCCUCGCCGUGUCCCGUGUUGCCCAAUCCCAUAAGGGUUGGGAUUCCCCAGUUAGUCGGUGUUUGGGUUGGGUACGGGAAAAAUAGUCCUGUCCCGAAUCUUAUUCUUUAUUUCAUUAUAUACAAUAUAUUUAUGUUUUUAAAUUAAAAUCUUUAAGUUAAAAAAAAAAUAGUUAGCAAAAAAUAUGAAUAUUUUAAUCUUGAUCAUGCCUCCUACCAAAUGCAAAGGAGAUGGUGACAAGGAGGGCUUCCUCGUCCCUGCCAGGCCCAUCUCUUUUGCAAUCCCCACUCGCGGAAACACACACCAAACAAGUUGUACCUAAUGCACACUUCAUCGGCAUACAUCGCACUUGUUAAUUUAGCGUGAGAAUUUUUAUCAAUUAUGAUCGUCGCUUAUAUUUCUUGAUACAUAAUUGUUCGAUUAUUAGUAGUUAAAAAUGUGUGUAUAUUUGUACUUGCAGCUUAAUAGGAGCAAUUAUCAUUGUAUUUGGACUCUACUCAGUUGUAUGGGGUAAGAGUAAAGAGAAUUCAAACUCGGACGAAUUAGUGUACGAGGAAAACAAAUCCCAUGAUGAAUUGCCAAUGGUGUACAAGAAAACAUCAAACAUUCUUGACAAUGCUGCAACUGAUACCAAUGUGAAACCAGAUGUACGUGAGAAGAAUUCCUUAAAUCAAGAGCCAUGAUCAUCCCGUCCCAACCUAGCCUAGCCCAUGUUGUUUUUACAUUUUGAGCCCAUGUUGUAUUUAUACCCAUAAAGGCAGAGUAAUUAUGUCAUAUAUUACUGACAUUUUAGCAUUGUCAAUUGGAAAUCAAAUGGGUUUUAGGGAUUAAAGAUCUUGGAGAAGUCAUAUAUCAAGUAUCAAUACUAAUGAAGCAAGUGAAAUUUGACAGAUAAAUGUUACAAAUCCACUGCGCAAACUACAUACCGAAACUUGUGUUGUAUCCUUGUGUGACCUUGGAUAUACAUGUCUUUAUACAUUUUACUUUAAUUGAAAGCGGUGUCUUGCAAUUUGAAUUGAAACUUGUUUUCGUGAGGAUUGUGUCGCGGUUUGACGAAGAUUUGGAAGUUUCCGCCAUUGUAGAUUAUAACUAUAAUGAAAAAUUUAGCUCCUAUUUGUUUUGGAUAAAAAUUAAAAUUUUCGUAUAUUUUGAUAAAAUUUGAUGAAAUAUUUAGUUAAAUGUUGAUAAGGUAUUGGAUCUCAUAAAAAUUUGUGAUUGAAAAUGAAUUUUAAAAAAUAAUAAUAAUGAUUGAACAGGGUUAAAAACACGAAAAGUGUGGACAGAGUGAGUUGGCAGCAUUUGGUUGGAUUUAUUUUUAGAAAAUUUUCAAACCAUUCAUUCAUGCUUCUCUUUAAGGAUUAGGGGUCAAACAUGGUCUUAACUCUUGAGGGUUUAGGAAUGUCAAAGAUGAAAAAUGUUUUCGAUUAAUUUCAAUUGUCAAACAUCUUUGUCUUUAAAAUGAGUAUAUAUGGGAUCAUAUUCAAUCCCUGUUAUAUGAAAAAUUUUGAAAUUAGAAAUUUAAAUGGACCAAAAUGUCCAUAAUUGAAGAUAACAAAUCACGUGAUUUAUAAUACAUUUUGUAACACUUAUCAAUUUUUUUUUAGCGUUUUUAUUCUCCUAAAGUUCAAUUAUUAUUUCAUUUUCAUCUAAUUAACAUUAUUUUAAAUCUUUUUCAUUCACAUGUCCUACGUAAAUUAACGUGCAGUCUAGUGUUUCACAUAAUUUUCUUCCAUUCGCAUUAUUUACUUUAAAAUUUGUUAGGAAUGCAUGUCUAAUUUUAUUAGUUUGAUGAUUAUGCACUUGUUUGAUAAAGAUUUUUAGAGAAGUAAUUAUUUGAAACUAUCUUCUCUAUGAAUGUGUGAUUAAAAAUUAGGAAAGUUAUGAGGAAAUGGGAAAAAUAAUAUUUGGGAAGAUUGUAUGAUUGAAAACAAGUAGGGAAGAAAAAUUAUUCUCAAAAAAUCAAAACCGAACUAAGGCCCCUUUCGUGAGAAAGCUUCAUAGAAGAGAAUAAUGUAUAUAUACAUAUGAUUAAUGAGUAUUUCCUAUAUUUUACAAUAUUUUCUAACUUAGUAAAAUUAUCUUUAGUGAUUUGAUGUUAGAGUUGAAGAAAGGAAAAUAAUAAAUUUUAUAGUUCUCUCUCUCUCACUCACACACACACACACACACAAAAAUCAUCCAAAAAAACAUUGAAAAAUCAGUACUCGGAAAGUGGUAUGCAAAACAUUAAAUUGAUGCUGGUGUAAAUCUUGACAUUUCUCGUAAUGCUUUAUAAGUAUGAAAGUAGUUUGUUGGAAGAUUUCGGCAAUUAAAAAUUGAAGUCUUCGAUGAAAGGGAUCUAGGAAGAGUCACAUGUCGAGUAUCAAUAAUAUUGAAGCAAGUGAAAAUUUACACGUGUUACAAAAUUGUGGAAGUGUGUACAAAAGAUGGUACUAUAAAAAUGGAAAAUUUGCAGUAUUAAUAAUGCUGUUUAAACUUUAAAUAACGAGUUUUGAAAACAAAAAAAAUAAAAAUAAAAAUUGGGUAUCAACAUUAUAUUAUAAUUGCAAGACUAAUCAGUCAUAAAUUAGGAAACUUAUAAAUUUUUAUUAACUCUUUUGUGACCUCAAAUAUUCAUGAAGCUAAAUUUUACUUCUCUUAUUAUAUUGGUGCCUAAAAAUUUAAUUUUUGAUGUUUCUUUCACUCUCUUUUUCACGAAUGCCGAUCAUUGUGCUCAUGUGCCAUGUUGAUUCUCCAAUCUUGCCCAACUCUCAAUUGGAUUUUCAAACAAAGGGUCAUAUCUAACUCUCAAUAUCAAUUUGAUCAAGAUCAACUGCUUUUCGAGUCGGAUUAAUUGAUAUUUGUGUAGUUUUGGGAUUUUUUUUUCAUUUAAAUCAAAUAAAUUGGGAGUAAAAAAAGUAACAUUAAUAACAGAGUUUGUAAUGGUUUUUAAUUGUUAAAAAAACGAAUAUAUUAAUAAAUUUAAGUGAUUUAGAGAAGAGAGGGUGGGGGCAGAGGAGAAGCAUUGUAAAUAUAAAAAGUAAUAGUCAUCUGGAAUAAAAUAAAAAUUUGAAAAAAUAAUUUAUUAUUGUAAAAUAAUGAGAUAAUUAUUGAUGAUUAUUUGAUAUUAUCAUGAUAUAUAAAUAACUCUUAUUUAGUUUAAAAUAUCUAUUUCAUUCAAAUUGUAACUCUUAUUUUAGACCCAAUAAAUAUAUGAUAUUUGCUCUUAAUAAUACACAUUUGAGUUUCACUCUUAUAUUCUCUUAUUCUCUCUUUUCAUAAUACUUAUCUAUUUUUAAUAGGGAAAAUUGCAGCUGAGAUACCAAACCUUUCGUUUAUUAGCAGACUUUGUCCAAAUCUUUAGUUUGUGCCAUUGGAGAUAUCAAAUUUUUCAAAAAUCCGCAUCCGAAGUCCAAAUGGAUGGAAACCGUCCGUUUGAUCGUUAGUUGACCAAUAAAAUUAAACAUUGACCAGUUUUUGACUAAUUGAAAAGGGUAAAAAAGUAAAAGUUACUUAACCCUAUAAUAAAACAAUUAAAAUAAAUAACUAAAACAAAAAAACAAAAAAAAAUACUAUUCAUCUCCUUCUUCACCCUACCCCCCCCCCCACGCCAUCCAAACCAUACUGUAAACUGUAAAAUGUAAACUAUUCUCUUCCUCCUUCCAAAACACGAGUGAGUGCGUGUGAGUGAGAGAAGAUAGAGAUCAAAAGGAUGGCAGAAUUUGCUCCAUUCCAUUUCUAAUCCAACCCACCCUCUGCACAUCAUUUCUACCUAUACCACACUAUUUAAUCAAUUUGUCCAGUGAGUUCCCUUUUCAAUUUUACUUGGUGUUUUCAUCUAAUUUCAACAUAAAUUUACAUGACGAUUUGUGGGUUUGCAUAUAUACUUGCAUAUGUUGGUUUUAAAAAUUGAUUUUUCAGUUGUUUUUGUUUGUGCGUUUAGAGAUGGUGAAAAAAGAUGAAGCUAUGGAUGCUCUGAAGAGGGAGGCUAUGGAUUUGGUAAUCAACUCUUUUACUUCAUAGAUUUUCUCUGCAUUUUUUACUUUUGUGUUGGUUUUUCUGUUUUUUUGAAGAAAACUGGCAAAAAAGGGAAGAACAUGGUGUCUUGGUGGGGGUAGGGUGGGUGAAGAAGAAAAUGAAUAGUAUCUUUUUUAGUUUUAGUUAUUUAUUUUAAUUGUUUUAUUAUAGGGUUAAGUAAUUUUUACUUUUUUACCCUUUUCAAUUAGUCAAAAAUUGGUCAAUAUUUAAUUUUAUUGGUCAACUAACGGUCAAACGGACGGUUUCCAUCCAUUUGGACUUCGGGUGUAAAUUUUUGAAAGAUUUGGUACCUCCAGUGGCACAAACUAAAGGUUUGGGCAAAAUUUGCUAAUAAGCGAAAGGUUUAAUGUCUCGGCUGCAAUUUUCCCUUUUUAAUAUCUUAAAUAAAAGAUAUCAAUGAAAUAUUUUUUUGAUAUGUAAAUUUAUUAUUAUUAUUAUUAUUAUUAUUAUUAUUAUUAUUAUUAUUAUUAUUAUUAUUAUUAUUAUUAUUAUUAUUAUUUUAUUUUGCCAGGUGAUAUCAAUGAAAUAUUUCAUUUACUUAACCAAAAAAAUGGAAAACAAACAAAAGGACAAUCUUUCAUCGUGACGCCAAAUUUUCUUCGUCGACGAUGGCAAUUGAUGCUUUGUUGAUAAUCGUUGACAUUGUCUUACGUAUGUGCAUUCAAAUAAAAAUAAAUAAACAAAAGAAUAAAUUUUCAUCGAUGACACUAGAGUUUCUUCAUUAGCGAUGGUGGUCCCUGCACUAUCUAUAGUUGUCGAUAAUGUAUGAUGGAGGUGCAUUCAUAAUAAUCAAGAUUAUUGAUUUUUAUUAGAACUAUCGACAAUGACCAUCUAAUAUCACCAAUAAAAAAUCUAUCCAUGCUCAUUUACUACAUUUUUUUUGUAGUUAGUAAACUCGUUAAGCCUUGCCAAACACUACAAGGUUUUUUUUCUUUUUUUUAAUCGAAAAUUACGCGUAAUUUUCUUUUCUAGUGAUAUAAAAUAGAAAUAAAAAAAGUAAAUUAUUCUAUGGGAAUUAUAAAAAAUGUCACUUUUUUUGAUAAUGCACAAAAAAAAUUGCACGUGCACCUAAUUUUAUAAAAAAAUGUCACUUUUUUUGUGGGAAAUAUCCAACUUAUCCUUCAUGUCCCUUUGUUAGGAGCAUUUAAUGCUAGCUUUACAAUCCAAUUAAUGUUAUGAUUUGAUUAGUUAAAUUUAUAUACUAUAAUCAUUGGAUAUAUUAAAAUUAUAUAUUAUAAUCAUUAGAUAUAUGCAUAUUCUCCAUUUUUCAUGUUUCUAGCAAUUGAAAUUAAAUGAUUUAAAAUUUUAAAAAUUUGAUUUUGAAAAGAAUAUAAAUUUUAGGUCGAAAUUAAAAAAAAAAAAAGAAAAAAAAGUUAAAGGCAGUUAGCAGCUCUCACGCUCACAUCCGCUGUCUCGCCGCUGCUGAAUUGCAGCAGCAAAGGCGGUCUUUGCCGUAAGUGUCGACCAUUGUAUGCGCUGUAAAAUAAAAGAAAAAAAUUUUGUUGUCCAGAUUUUCAGCAGAUUUGGUGAUUGGAGAUGGGGGCCUGUUGUGUAAAUUCAUGAUUUGCAAGCCUCUGUUUAAAAGUUAAUAUAUAAGGUAUUUAAAUAAUUUAGAGGGUCAAAAAGUCUUAAAUUGAUAUUUUUGAUAGAAAUUUUAAAAGGUGACAUAUUUGAUAUUGCACAGCCAAAUUUUGACACCCAAUGAAAUUUCAUCAUUAUUCUAUUUGGAGAUACAAGUUACUUAAAGGUUAGUAUAUUUAGCCCUUGUUUGAGCAACAUUAUUUCCGUAAUAAUAUAUUUUUAAAUAGUGUAUUGAUAGGAAAUAUGUUGUUAAAAAUAAGAAAAUGUUUUAAAUUUGCGUGUAAUAUUAUUUUAUUGAAUAACUUGUGAUUAAAAUAAUGUCAAAUCAUUAUUUAAGGAUGUAUUUUUUAAAGAAUGUGGGGCAAAUUAUUUUAAAGCUUAGACCAUUUCCAGCGCUGCACCAAAUUUUUCACCAAACUAAAAUUCAUCUCCAACCAUUACACAAAAAAUUAUACUAAUUGAACAAUGUUUAACCAUUUUCUUCCAUUUUUUAUUCUUUAUAAUAUAUUUAUUUGAAAUAUUUUUUAUUUAAUUAUUUUAUAAAUACAUAAAUUAUUAAAUAAAUAAUUAGGUUAAAUUACGAAAAAGAUUAAAUUCAUUAAUAAAUCGUGUUUGUUAUAUUUUAAUUUUUUAAUUUUUUUAAUUAAUUUAUUAAUUAUUAUUUCUUAAUAAUAAUAAUUUAUUGUAUUAAAAAAUAGAUAGUACAAAGACACAAAUAUCCUUAAUCAAAUUAUUUGGAAAAGGAAAAUGAAGGUAAAAAUGACUUUAGACACUUUGCACUUGGUGCAAAGUGAACUUGUACAAUUUUGAUGUAAAAUUGUGCAAAAUAAAAUUUGAUGUUACAUUGGAGGUGUUUUACACCAUUUUUUUGGUGCAUUUCAAUGUUUUGAGGGUAAGCAUUGGAGAUGUCCAGCAAAACAUCCCAUCUGAUAUGGCACUUGAUGAUUGGGGAAAGCUACAAAACGGGGGAAACAUUGUACCAGCUUAACCCAAAAUGUUCCUAUCGUCCUCUGGCUCAUUCUCUUUCGACUACUCAUUUCCACACCCCUUCAUCUCACCUGGGGCAAUGAUUUUGGCUUCCAACUGAGUGAGAUAUUUUAUCUGUAAGUAAUAGAUAAAAAAAUGGCGAUGUGGGUUUUCGGAUACGGAUCUCUGAUCUGGAAAGCCGGCUUCCAUUUUGAUGAUCGCCUUGUCGGUUUCAUCAAAGACUACCGCCGUGUUUUCUAUCAAGGUUAGAAGAUAAUUCCCUCCUCGAGUAAUUUUUUUUUGUAAAAUAGAGUAUUGGGUUCAAUAUAUCGAGUUAGGAGUAGUCCAAGUCAUCAAACAGAUGGAAUUGCUCGUUAUAGCUUUUUUGACUCUGAUACUCUGCGUUGAUUCUUGGGUUCUAUCUUUAAAAAAAAGUAAUCUUGUUAAGAGGUCUUGUAGAUUUAAGCAUAAAUCAUAUAUUCAAUGGGCUGGAGUGGAUUUUUCUUGAUGAUGACAGUGUGAUUCUAUUACCAUUAUGUGUGCCUGCGGGGAUCGAGAUGAUGAAACUUUUUGUUGGGUUUGAGUUUAGGGAGCACUGAUCACAGAGGGACUCCAGAGUACCCGGGAAGAACAGUCACAUUGGAGCCUGCCGAGGGGGAGGUUUGCGUGAGUUCUUUUUGAACUAUCUCUCUUCUUUUCUUGUGUUAUCUGUAACGGCUUCUGCAUUUUAAAUUAAUGGUACAAUAAGAAAAAAUUUAUCAAUUUGGCCGUUCUUGGAUAUAUAAUGGAAUUGUAUGAAUAAUGAAACAGCUAAUCUGAAAUUUUUAAUUGGUAUUAGCAUAGUAUGUUGUUUAACUGGUACUCAAAUGGUAGUAAAGGACAUUCGAACAACUCACAAGAACACCAGAUGAUGCAGAUUACUGAACAACCAAGUUGAAGUAGCACAUAAGAGUUGAACUCUCACCUUGGAUCAGAAGGAUGGGGUUCGAUUUCUGAGAAGUGUGUUCAUGGAGUAUUUUGAAUUUAGAAACAUCGAGCACUUUUGACAUUUUAUGUGCGUGGGACUGGAUUUUGAGUUGUGAUUAGCUAAUAGCUAUUGCGAGCUUGUGAUCAGCAGUGAUUUUAAUUUCUGGACAUAUUUUAUGCAUGUGUGAUGUGUAUGUAUAUGUAAAUUGAGGUAGAAUGUCAUUUACAUAAAAUGUACUUAUGAGGGGGUCUCAUGGUCAUUUUUAGUAGCACUAUUAACUUGUGUUGGACCAUGUGUCUCUGUCCUAGUAAUAAGUAAUAUGCACAUGUUGAUCCUUGAUAAGAAGUCAAAGCACAAGAAAUUUUACUUAAAGGGGUGUAUUCAAUCGAGACUUUUAAAAACUUUUGGAGACUUAGAAAGUUUCCGUGUAUUCAAUUGAAACUUUUAGAGACUUUUAUAGAUUUUUAAAAAGUCUCUACAAGUCUCGUGGUAUUCAAUUGAAACUUUUUAGAAGUCUCUACAAAUUUGGGGGUAUUCAAUUGAAAAUGACUUUCAGGGAAUUUCUAAUUUAUGGGACUUUCAAAGACUUUUUGGUAGAAAAUACAAAUAAGAUUUCUCAAAACAAAUCUCUCAUCCAUCGAGAGAUUUCUCUCAACAUAGGGUUUUCUCCUCCAUCUCUUUCAAUCAGGUAUGAGUUUGACAGAACAUAAAUUUAUGACAGAACAUGAGGUUUGAUACUUUUCUGUUUGAUUCAGUAAACCUUUACCAUAUUUCUCUUCAAAUCUGGCCUCUUCUGUUGGAUUUUUUCUCCUCCAUCUUUUAUUUUUACCCCUUUUCCCUCAAUUCCUCGUUUGGCUUUUGGAAAUUUCAAGAAAAUCAAUCGCAUACUUUGUAGCAGCAUUCCCUUUGUCUCCACUGACACAACCCAUUAUGAGUUUUCUGAUGUUUCUUUUGAGGUGGAGUUGAGGUUGGAACUCGGGAAAGAAGGUGUAAGUCCUAAGGAGAUCUUUAUAGAUGCAAAUGAGAACUCUUUGGUAAUUAAGGUGCAGAACAGUGGAUAUCUUAGGACACUCCUGGAUACAAAUAAACUUUACGGGAUGAUAAAGCCUUCUGAAACAAUAUGGUAUAUAGACGAUGAUCAAUUGGUGGUUAAUUUGAAGAAACAAGACCCAGAACUAAAAUGGCCUGACAUCAUGGAGUCGUGGGAGUCCUUAACAGCGGGAGUUGCACAACUCUUGAGAGGAACAUCAAUCUAUUUAGCCGGGGAAUCAACUGAAAUAAACCACGAGAUUGCUCGAGAAUUAGCUGUUGGUCUUGGGUAUACACCACUCAAUACAAAGGAGAUUCUGGAAUCAUACAGCAAGGAAAUUAUUGAUUGGUGGGUGGCCUCACAUGGUUGUGAUGCUGUAGCAGAAGCAGAAACUGCUAUAUUAGAAAGCCUCAGUAGCCAUGCCCGAGCUGUUGUUUCGACAUUAGGUGGGAAGCAUGGUGCUGCUGAGAGGCCAAAUAAAUGGCAACAUCUUUUUGCAGGAUUCACUAUUUGGUUAUCUCAGUCAGAAGCUACAGAUGAAGAGUCAGCGAAAGAGGAAACCCGGAGACAUUUACAAGAUGGUCUUCAAGGUUAUUCAAAUGCAGAGGUCGUAGUCAAGCUCGGGGGUUGGGAUGCUAAUUACUUCAAAGCAGUUGCUCAAGCUUCGCUAAGUGCUCUCAAACACUUGAUUUUGUCUGAUAAGAAUCUUCCAGGUAAGAAAAGUUUGUAUAUAAGACUGGGAUGCCGAGGGGACUGGCCAGAUAUUAAACCUCUUGGCUGGGAUCCAUCGACCGGAUCUGAUGCAUCAUCUCCCCUAUCAUAGUAUCAAUCCCUCCGAGUACGUAAUUCGGUAAUGCUGCGUCAUUUGUCUCUUCCAGAUUGUUUUGUCAAUGUGUCUUGUUUCCCUCAGGUUCAUAAAUUUGCUCUUCUAUACCAAGGCACUGUAUAUUGUUAUGUACAUUCCAUGUUGAUCGAUUAUUUGUUACUUAUCAGUAAGGAAAAUUCUGGAGGGUUACUACUUUCAACUCUCUUCUUCAUAGUUAAAAAAUAAAAUAAAAUAAAAUAAAGAAUAAUAAAAAAUAAAAAAUUUAAAAUGAACUGAUGAAGGCUCAAAGAAAAAAAGUGACUGAAUAAAGAAAAGAAAAAGGUGCUGGAUUUUUAAACAUAUUACAUUAUAUAUGUUUAAUAUUUUCUUUAAAAAAAAAAAAAGUCUUUAAAAGUCUCCGGUAAAAGUCUUCACAAAUCCAUGAAAAACUUUUACUAAUUCCUACCAAAUCCAUAGAAAUCACUUAAAAUUUCACAAAGUCCACAAAAAGCACCCACAUUAAAAAUUCUCCAAAAGUCUUUAAAAGUCUCAAUUGAAGACACCCCCAAGAUUGGAGUUAACUUUAGAUGAUAACAGUUGAAUCAUUGCUGGUUUUACAAACAAGGAUCAGUGAUGGAUAUUGGAAUUGGAAAACAUUCAUUAUCUUAAGCAGUGUAUAUUGUUGAACAUAGACUGAAUCUCUAUGGAUAAUGUCAUAAUACCGGCUUUCACAUUUUUCUAAAAUAUGGUUCUGGUAAGUCUCUGAAUCAUGAGACGGGGUCAUUAAAUCAUUCUUGUUGAACCUGUGUACCAUUUUCUUUGCGUGCUUGGUCUCUCCCGUCAUUAAUGAUUUGUUAUUUAAUUCUUUUCUAUGUUGUUUUGUGCAUGUAAAUUCUACUGAGUAUGAAUUUAGUAUUUAAAAUCCUUAUAAAAUGUAUGAACUUGACAUAUAUGUGAUAUGGAAGAUCAGUGGGGUGUUGCCUACAAGAUUAUCCGGAAGGAAGACCAGGAGGCUGCAUUGGAGGUAGGUUUUAAGUUUUAGAAAAUAUAUAAAAUGUUGGAUUCUGUCUUUUUUAUGUAACAGUUAUUAAAAUUAUUUCUUUUUGGUGGUAAAUGAAUUCCUUCCAGUUAAUCUCGAUGAUAAAUUUGAAGAUAUGUCUUCACCUGUGCUUUUGAUUUUACUGGCUACUGUGACAGUAGAAGUUUUCAAAUAUUGGAUUGCUUCAAAAGAAAACCUCAGCAAAUCUAAGCACAAAGAAAACCUUCAAAAGAGGGCCUAGAAGUCAUAUUUGCUAUUUUAAUUUAAGAUAAUAGUCAAGUAAACAAAGAAUAAGACAUAAUAUUCUGAUAUUUCAGUUAUAGAUUGUUCCUUAUACCCGAGAGUUUGUAAUUUUCUUAAAAAAAUUACACUUUCAUGUCCAUUGUAUCAUUAAUAUUCCUAAUUCAUAUCUUUGUUUGGAUUAACUCUUCCCUUCUUAGAAAGGUAAUAUUAAAUGGAAUGAAAUCAUAAAACAAGCAAAGAAUGGACACUAGUGGUUCCCCCUCAAUGUGAGAUGUGUUUGCUGGUUUUCACUAUAAUGGAGAGCAAGAGUACUAGGUUUCUUCAGGCCUCUCCCACACCUGAAAGCUGCCUCCUAAAAUCCUUUGUGUAUGUAGGAAUCUCAUGGCGACCUAAUACAUGUAUGGAAUACAGGCUGGAUUGUAGUCGAGUGGAUAAGUGGAGAGUCUGAUUAGGCUCCCAUAGUCCAAAAUAUUGGACACUGAGAGAGAUUUGUUUACACUUCUAUUGCAUGUAUCAGUCUUUUCUUGUUCAUUAAGUACCUGUUUUCGGCUUAGUCCUUGUUUUCUCCCUUCCUCAAAAUGAAAUGCCUCUCUGCUACAUUGAAUAGCAUCUAGAAGUAAGGG